rnacentral:lncRNA from 1 species
ANAGCUUUCGCUUCUGUUGUUGCUUGCCCUCGUGCAAGCCUUGUAUAAAUGCUAAUCUCAUUGUUUGAUUGCUUUACUAUACAUGGUUUAGAGCCUUGGACGGGCAGGGGAGGCUCUGUCCGUUCGGCGUCUGUUGGCGUGACCCGAACCCGACCAAAUUGGCGGGGAUUGGGGCGUGACAGUAUUGAUGCAGGAUGGCAAGGUGAUCGCGUAUGCUUCUCGCCAACUGAAGGAAUAUGAAAGGAACUACCCGACGCAUGAUUUGGAGUUGGCUGCCGUGGUGUUCGCAUUGAAGCUAUGGCGCCACUAUCUUUAUGGCGAGCGGUGUGAAGUUUAUACGGAUCACAAGAGCUUGAAAUACCUGUUUACUCAGAAGGAGUUGAACUUAAGGCAGCGCAGAUGGUUGGAGCUACUCAAGGAUUAUGAUCUUACUAUUCUUUACCACACGGGCAAGGCUAACGUGGUGGCGGAUGCGCUAAGUAGGAAAUCGACAGAAAACAUAGCGAUGUUUGUGGUGACCCAACCGCAGUUGAUCGAGCAGAUGAAGCCGUUGGAGUUGGAGGUAGUGACUCCGGAUACACCUUUGAGGUUGAUGACCUUGGUUGUGCAACCUACACUUUUGGAUCGAAUUAAAGAGAAGUAAGCUUCCGAUUUGGAGUUGCAAAAGAUUAAAGGUAAAAUGGUUGAUGGUUGCACCGGUGACUUCUUAGUGGAUGACCGAGGGUUGAUGCGAUUCCGUGGACGGCUAUGUGUACCGGCGGAUGCGGGAAUCAAAGAGGAUAUUCUUCAAGAAGCGCACCGAGCGCCCUAUGCUAUACAUCCGGGAGGUACCAAGAUGUACAAAGACUUGAAGUUGCUUUAUUGGUGGUCCGGGAUGAAAAAGGAUGUUGGCGAGUUUGUAGCUCGUUGUUUAACUUGCCAACAAGUAAAGGCUGAGCACCGAGUUCCCGCGAAAAAACUUCAGAGUUUGCCUAUUCCCGUGUGGAAGUGGGAGAAGAUCACCAUGGACUUUGUGACUGGAUUGCCUCGCUCACAGGCUGGGCAUGAUGCUAUUUGGGUGAUCGUGGAUAGGUUGACGAAGUCGGCGCACUUCAUACCUAUUCAUACGACUUGGACCGGAGAGAAGCUCGCACAAGUGUACCUUGAUGAGAUUGUGCGACUUCAUGGAGUGCCUACGACGAUAGUAUCAGAUCGAGACACUCGGUUUGUGUCUCACUUUUGGAGGAGUCUGCAUGAUGCCUUGGGCACUCGUUUGGAUUUUAGCACUGCUUUCCACCCUCAGAGUGACGGGCAGUCGGAGCGCACCAUUUAGACUUUAGAGGAUAUGCUCCGAGCAUGUGUGAUAGACUUCCGGGGAGGAUAGUCGCAGCAUCUACCCAUGGCGGAGUUUGCUUAUAACAAUAGUUAUCAAGCAAGCAUCAUGAUGGCACCGUUCGAGGCACUGUAUGGACGGAAGUGUAGAUCGCCACUUCAUUGGAGUGAAGUUGGCGAGAGAUUGGCUCUGGGACCAGAUGUGCUCCAGGAAGUCGAGGAUAAAGUUCGAAUUGCUCGGGAGCGACUUUUGACGGCACAGAGUAGACAGAGGAGCUACGCCGACCGACGGCGGCGAGACUUAGAGUUCCAAGUUGGAGACCAUGUUUUCUUGAAGGUCUCGCCGACUAGAGGAAUCAAGAGAUUCGGGAUUCGGGAAAAGUUAAGCCCCCGUUUCAUUGGACCGUAUGAGGUUUUGGAGCGUGUAGGCCCGGUAGCGUAUCAACUUGCCCUACCGCCGAAUCUAUCGGGCGUACACAAUGUCUUUCAUGUAUCGGUCCUUCGGAGGUACAUACAUGACCCAACUCACGUUUUGGAGGCCAUACCAGUGGAGCUGCAUGAUGAUUUGAGCUUUGAGGAGCAACCCUUGAGAAUUUUGGCUCGCGAGGUGAAGAGAUUGCGGAACCGUGAGAUUCCCUACGUGAAGGUACUUUGGAGCAACCACGACGAGCGCGAGGCCACUUGGGAAUUGGAGAGCGCACUGCGGGAGCGCUAUCCCCAUCUUUUUCAGAUGGAGGUUUGAGGUACGUUGCUUUCGAGUUUCGCGGACGAAACUCUUUUUUAGGAGNGAUGAAUAUAAGCACAUAUGAGAUAAGAUUUGCCCCCGCUUGUAUUCUUCGCCUACAAGAAAGAGCUUCCAUCCAAAAAUUCUCUUUUCUUAAAACAAAUACCCUGACUAAAUUCUUUAUCUAAGUUGUACGUUUACAAACAAAACAAAACGAAAAAUAAAUAACAAAAUUCAAUCCGAUUUCAUUUAUUCCAACCGAAAGUAAGUUCGAUGCUAUCGUGAUUUCGUACCAAUCGGAGUAUAAGUACAUGCCGACCAAAGCUAAUCAGACACAAAGAUCCAUUAAUGACUUAGAAUGCACUAAUUAUAUUGCUGAUGUGGCGUUCUCAACCAAUGCAAUUAUUUUUUUGGAAUUCAUCAAUUCCAUCGUGUUUAUCAGAAAAAUAUUUUUAUUUUACCUUUUUCUCAAAGAAAAAGAUAUAAUUGGUUGGUUAUUGAUGAUAUAGUGUAAGUGUGACACAGUAAAUUUUCUGAUCCUUAAAUUCUUUCGUGAGAUCGCCGCUCUUCCACCAUCACUGUCGCUCCGCUCCUGCUCCCCCACCCCUUCACCCAAGCCCGCCGCUCCCCUCACUUGGUCUCACGACCUGACCAACGUGUCCUAACUUUGAAUCGUAAGCACUAACUAUUCCAAAAAUAUGGACUGAUACGACGGCGCAUUCAUCGCACUUAAGGCUUGACCACAACACUCACAGACUUCACAGACUUCGAUCCUGACUCAACUCAUAUGAACAUUAUGUCUAUUAUAAGGCCUCUUGUCGUUAGGUUUAUUAUAAACCGCAAUCACACUUAAAUUAUUAGACUAACCCAACUCAAAUAUUAGCUUCCUGAGCCUACUAUCAUGGAACAAAAAAUUAAGCAUAUUUUAGGCUAUAAUAAACAUAGUUAAUUCGUGAAUUAUUCGCGAUUUAUUGAAAAAACCGAAUAAACCGGUCUGUACACGAUUUAUUUCCAAAAGAUCGAAAUAAUACGUGAAUUUUUGGGUUAGAUUUAUUAUUUGCGAAUAAUUUGCGUAUAUCGAACUAUUCGGCCAAAAAAAUGCACAAAUUUUUGGGAUAAAAUUCCUUUCUGAAUUAUCGCCGGAUUAUUCGCGAAUUAUUGAAAAACUUCAUGACCUUCUGAAAUAUUGGAUCAUGAAAAAGAUGAAGAUGAAGACGAUAAUAAAAUUUGCUAUUAUUUUUUUUUACUUAAUCUAUUUUAUUUUAGGCCAAUUUGCAUAAAGAAUUCAUAAAUUUUAAGCUUUUGCAAAACUGGACCGUCUUUUUUGAUUUUGCAGAUUCGAUCCGAAUUUUCAGCAAACUGACCAAAAUAUCCUUAUUACUUUUUCACUCUCCUCUUUCUCUCUCCUCUUUUUUUCUCUCGUUCAUUUUUUUUCUAUCGCCGAAGAAAGUAGCGGAGGCAGAGGCGGAAGCAGAAAUGGCCCACCUCGCCUCUCACCCUCUCGCCCUCACCCUUGCCCUUGCCCUCGCCCGCGCACCCCCCACCUUCCUCGCCUCCAACCCAACCAAGGCCAUGCCACGACUUUUUUUUUUUCCCUCUCCGACUCUCCUCCACCGUCUCCAACAACGACGCCUCUCUCGCCCUUCCUAGCCCUUCUUGUCCUCUCCCUCUCCCUCCUCCUGUGCCGCCUUCGACGACGACGCAUCAUCGCCGACGCCGACACCAUGGAGGUCGCUGCGGCACUGCAGCCUCGAAGCGGGGGUCUUUAGCGGCGUCGUUGCCGGCGCCGUAGCCGUUGGCAGAGAAGGGUGACAAAAAAAAAUUACAGAAGAAGCAAGAAAAAAAAAAUAAAGAUAAAAAAUUAUAGAAAAAGAAAGAUGAAGAUGAAAUUUCACCAUUAAAAUAAAAUUGUACUGUUUUAAAAAACGUUGCACUAUUAUGAACAUAAGUUGUACUACUUAAGAUGUAAACUACAGUUUUAAGAUAAAAAUUACACUCUUUAAAUAAAAAUUACACUCUUUGAGAGAUAUUUACACUGUUUCUCCUCUUAUUGCACUCUUUCAGAUGUAAACUGCAUCCAUUAAGAUGAAAAUUACACUCUUUAAAUGAAAGUUGCACUCUUUGAGAGAUAUUUAUACUGUUUCUCCUCUUCUUACAUUCUUUGAUAUGUAAACUGUAUCCUUUUAAGAGAUAUUUAUACUGUUUCUCUUCUUGUCAACUAUUUCUCCUCUUGUUACACUAUUUUUUCUCUUAAAGGGUACAGUUUAAGAGAAAAAAUAGUAUAACAAGAGAAAAAAUAGUGCAACAAGAAGAUAAACAGUGCAACAAGAGAAGAAACAGUAUAAAUAUCUCCUAAAGGGGUGCAGUUUACAUCUUAAAGAGUAGAACAAGAGGAGAAACAUUGUAAAUAUCUCUCAUGGAGUGCAACUUUCGUUUAAAGAGUGUAACUUUCAUCUUAAUGGAUACAAUUUACAUCUGAAAGAUGCAAUAAGAGAAAAAACAGUGUAAAUAUCUCCCAAGGAAUGUAAUUUUCGUUUAAAGAGUGUAAUUUUCAUUUUAAAGCUGCAGUUUACAUGUUAAUAGUACAACGUUCUUUCAAAACAGUGCAAUUUUAUUUUAACGGUGCAAUUUCAUCUUCAUUUUUUUUCUAUAAUUUUUUAUUUUUAUUUUUUUUCUUGCUUCUUCUAUAAUUUUUUUUUGUCACCCUUCUCUGCCAGCGCCGGCGACGACGCUGCUAAGGACCCCACACUCCGAGGCUACAGCGCCACAGCGACCUCCACGGUGUCGGCGUCGGCGAAGAUGUGCUUUCGUCGAAGGCGACAAAGAAUGAAGGAAAGGGAGAGAACGAGAAGGGCGAGGAAGGACGAGAAAGGCGUCGUCGUCGGAGACGGUGGAGGAGAGUCGGAGAGGGAAAAAAAAAAAAGUUGCAGCGCGGCCUCGGCGGGGUCGGAGGCGAGGAAGGCGGGUGGUGCACGGGAGAGGGCGAGGGCGAGGGCAAAGGCGAGAGCAUGACGGNGAUAGGAAGGAGAAGAAGAAGGAGAUCAAGAGGAAGGCUUGGAGCACCUCCAUCUCCCUCUCCUCUUCCCAUUGGUGUAGCUCUUGAGGUAAGCUACUAAACCCUAGCUUUGUAAACUUAGGGUUUUGGGUUUUUAUGCUUUGGAAUGGGCCAAAUGGACUCUAGGCAAGCUUCUAAAUAGAUCAAUCCCAUGAUUCUAGGGUUUUAUCGGUGGGUUGCUAUAUGUGCAACCUAGGGCUCCAAAUGGGGGCAUUUUGUAAAGUGUGAGAUUGAUCUCAUUUGAGGCUUUGUAAACCUCAUCGAUAGGUGCCCAAACGCGGGGGCGAAGUCGAUUUCGCGAUUCGUCGAGCGAGCUUGGAUGUAAGGUACCGGACUUCUAAAAUAAUGAAGUUACGGUGUACAUUUGGUUGGAGAGCCAUUUGAAGGGUUCCGGUGAAGUUCGGUGAAGUUCGGGAGAAUCCGGGCGAUUUGGUGUGCGUAGGCGCGGAAAGGGACCCGAAAGGUCAUGUCGGACCAUGAACUAAACCCGGCAUUAGCAGGGAUUAAAAGAUGAUAAAAACAUGCUCGAAAACAUGUUUGGGGAGUCUCGGUUCGAUUUGAAACGAAUCGGAGGUCAAACGAGCGAAAACGGAGCGAAAACGGACCCCGAAAGCUGAAAAAGCUGAAAAUUUGGCUAAGUCUGGAAUGCUGUUUUUCUGGACAUUCGGGGACCGGUCCCUCAAGUCUAGAGACCGGUCCCAGCACCCGAAAAUGGCCCAGUUUGGGCUGUGUGUGACUUAUAUUGUUGAGGGACCUUUGUGCAAUUGUGCCAAGGGUAUAGAGAGGGUUGGGGGCUCAUUUCCUCUCCUUCUCCCUCACACUUUGUAACCUAAACUCUCUCUCUCUCUCUAGAAAGAAAAGAAAGAGAAGAAGAAGAAGAGGAAAGGGAAGGAGAAGGUGGAGGAGAAGGCUUGGAGAAGGAGUUCUACUUCUUCUUCCUCCUCUUUUGGCCAUUGGAGAAGCUUGUUUGAGGUAAGCUUUACACCCUCUAAUGGUAGCUUCUAGUUUAUAAGUUUUUAAGCUCUAGAAAUGGGAUUUAAUGGUGAUUUAGAGAUUGUUAAUCUCAUUUGUUGCAAGAUCUAUAGCUUUAUGUUGCUCUUUGCAACAAUGAGGAGUUAGAGCUCCAAAUGAGAGCUUUAAUGGUAGAUCUCUAGGGCUUUAGUCUUAUGCUCUAGAGAUGGAUUUAGUAACCUUCCUAGAUGCUAAUUAGAUGGAUUAUGUUUAGAUCCAAAGUUCUAAUGGUGGGUUUUUGUCUAAUUGCGACCUAGGGCUCCAAAAUGGGGUUUUAGUAAAUCUUAGGUUAUGAUCUAUUUUGAGUGGUCAGAAACCUAAUUGCCAUGUCUCCGAACGCGUAGGAAGCGACGGUUCGUCGAUUCGUCGAGCGGGUGCGACGUUCCGGCUGAAACAAGUGCUAGAAGGUCCGUUUUGGCCCGAGGAGCCGAGGCGACGUGCGAAGACCACGAAGACAAGCUUUCUAACCUUUCGGCAUUACCAAAAGGUGGGGGAGUGCCAUCCCGAAGCAGUCGGGCUACUCUUUAUGUCUAAGUGCUAAGUUGACCUAAUUGCAUAUUGUGAUAUUGCAUUAUAGGGUGCUAAAUGUAAUUGUUACAUAUUCUUGCAUGCUAAUAGAAUAGUGUAGAGUUGAGUUGCUUAACACCUAAAUCUAGUAUGCAUGAGAUUAACGUCAAAUGACUUGAGACCCUAUAAUGAAGUGAUAGUUGAUAGGAAGUGAACCUGCUUAUGUGAAUGAGAAUUUAGUAUGGUAUAACUAAUGUUUGAGAACAACAAACUUGACGAGUGGCAUCUAGUUAACAAACUUGACGAGUGGCAUCUAGUUAAUGUUGAACUUAGGAGAGAACUAGUUCCCAAGUGAUGUUGUCUAGAGUGGUAGGGUAUCCUCAGUGACGGGGAUUUGACCAUACUUAUAUGUCUGUUCAAAGCUUGGUAUGGUCGCUCCACACAAGCAGUGCACUCCGGAGUCGUCACAUGAUAGGGAUAGCCGUUUGGUUCCCGAGGGAUAGCCGUUUGGGUCCCGCAGACAGUCUUGGGCGAGUGAGCUGAUCCUCCCCAGGUGAGUUGGGUGAGUGAGUUGAUCCUCACCCAUGAGUUGAGAUUGGGCUGUCGUACCUAUGUUGAGAGUCGGGCGAGUGAGCGGAUCCUCCCCGUUGUGUUUAGAUUGUGAGUCGGGCGAGUGAGCGGAUCCUCCCCGUUGUGUUUAGAUUGUGAGUCGGGCGAGUGAGCGGAUCCUCCCCGUUGUGUUUAGAGUGCGAGUCGGUGAGUGAGCGGAUCCUCACGUAUGUGACUGAGUAGACUAGCAUAGUAGUAUGAGAUAGGCUACCUAUUAUGUUGCAGUUUAUACAUGUAUUUUUGUUGAAAGCAUAGUAUCAUGAGAUAGGUUGCACAUUAUUAUGUAGUUCAUGCAUUCAUAGCAUUGGAUUGAGGCAUAGUUGGAUAUUAGCAUCGCUUUACAUUAUGCUUUAUCGUUAUUGCUUUCAUAUAUAUCUAUCUAUCUUUCCGUCUUCGUCUUCGUCUUCCUAUGCCUCCUUAGACCUAGUGGGGAGAUUGGCGGAGUCGGCGGCCGAACCCACUGGGAACUAUAUUCAUAUAGUUCUCACCCCGCGUGGUUUGGGGUACAGGUACACACGAGAGAGCUCCGGCCGAGGACCGCGGCAAGGGCUUAGCGCCCUAGUGUUGGUAGUAGUUACUUUCCUACUUGCAUUAGAGCUACCUAUACCUUUUGAGAGUAGAUGAUGUAUAGGUGUGAGGCUAUUUUGGAAAUUGUAAGCUUUAAGUUCAUGAUGUAUUUUGGAAGCUUUAAUUGUAAUUAAAUGUAUCAAAGUUGAAUGGAUGUAAUAGCUAGUUAUUUCUCUCUUUUAUUCACUUGUUCACUACUUGUGAUGCUUGCUCUUUAUAUGUUUGGCACUGGUUGUGCUCUCGCUAUUGUUGGAUUGUGUAUGUUAUCAAGUUGUUGUCCUGGGCACUUGUGUACACAAUCUCGUUGCUUAGCCGUGGGCGGACAGGGGAAGUGCUGUCCGUUCGGCGUCUGUCCGACGCGCCCGAACCGGCCAAAGUGGUAGCGGUUUCGGGGCGUGACAGUUAUGGUAUCAGAGCGAGUUAAGAGCAAGCAAAGAGAGAGUCUAGGACUGACCUAGGAGACCCUAGGACGGUAAACCGUAAGGUUAUAGGUGUGUGAGUGGAACGUGAACUUAUGACAGCGGCGGAAGUUAAUUAAUUGGGUCGAAGUUGGUGUUGAGACUCUAGUAGUUGCUAGAGACGAUUCAAGUAGUACUAGUUCUUGACUUAAGGUGGUUGUGUUGGCGGCCGACAACACGACGCCGAGAGUCAAGGAUGAGUACGCUUGUGAACUUCCGCCUGAUUUGUGUUGUUGAGUCAUUUUAUCGCGUAAUUGCGAGAGGUUGUUGGGUUGAGGUGAUUAACCGAUUUAUUGCGUUUCAGGAGCUAAUGUCCCCGAGACGCUACGCACGUAGAUCCGUUCCGGCACCGCCCCCUGAGGUGCCAAAGCCUCCUGGGGCGCCAGGGCCAGCUGGGCCUAGUGAGGUGCAGGAAUUGCCGGCGCAGGUGACCGCACUAGCUGGUCAAGUUGGGCGGCUCCAGGAUUUGAUGGAGCGGCAGAUAGCAGCAGUGGCUGCGAUGGCGGCUGGAGGUCGUGACCCGCCCGCACCCUCGGCUCGCGUCCCUAAUGCGACUGAGAGUGAGGGUGUUCCAGCGGCGCCGGUGGCGGCGCAACCCCCGCCGGCAAGUGUUCCUCCAGCGGCAUCGAGUUCUGCGACACUCGGUGCGGCGGCCGAGGAGAUACAGCGAGAGCGUGGCUACACGGCUCUCACAAGGUUUACAAAGUUCCACCCGCCUACGUUCGAUGGAGAAGUGAUAGAUCCUUGGACGGUGGAGACAUGGUUGGCCUCGAUGGAGACCCUGUUCGAGGANUCAUAAAAUGAAAAUGCAUGCAUAUUCAUGCUAGAUAGAUUAAUUGUGAAUUUUAGAAUGCUUAAAAUACGCACGUUAUGUAUAAUGCAUUUUCGAACCUCUAUGUAGUAGAGAGCUUGCAUGUGAGACUUGUGCAUGGGUUUAGCAUUCUAAUUGGGACUUGGAAUCAUGCUUCUUGUAGUAGUUAUGACAAAUAUAAUGUGCCUUGGAUAUAAACCUCAUUGGGACUAGGAGAAUAUUUUGGGCCAUAAAGUGGCUUUAGAUUUGAAUAUCUUGUGAGGUAGGAAGCUAAUGUUGUAAUGCGGCGUCGGGCUCGAACUAUGACUGAGCCUAGCAAGUAAUGCCAUAGAGAGGCAUUAGACUCGAGCGAUAUAUAAAUUGCAUGUGCAUGUUAAUAUUAUGGAAAUUAUGUUAAGUUGGUUGUUACAUCGAAAUCAUAUGCUAGUGGAUAGAUGCAUGUUUAUACUUAUACGCAUUGUGGGAUCCAGGCUAGGCACAUAUUAGCAAUGUGAGAUCAUGCUUGGGAGCACCGUGCAUUAACCUAGAACGGGUAUAUUAAGCUAAUGUCAUAAAGAGGCAUUAGGCUUAGGUUUGGUAUAGUAAGCUAAUGUCAUAAAGAGGCAUUAGGCUUGUGAUACGUAUGGACUUAGUCAAGCUAAGGUCACAUGAGACAUUGAAUUAUUGAACGGUUAAACCUUCACUUGAGGCAUAAACUAGACACUAGGGUUACUAGUGUGCAUUUCCAUGUUAGAGACAUGAUGACUGUUGAGUUGCAUUUCCAUGUUGGAGACAUGACGAUUGGACUAUUGAGGUCUUGACCAUGCUUGCUUGCCAUUUGUGCUCAUUCGCACAUGCUUGUGAGGGUUGCUCCCCACAAGCCGGCACUCCGGAGUUAGCCUACGCGACAUAUGCUCGCUCGUGCGGUAUUGAAAAGCCUACGGGGUCGAGUAGGACAGACACAUUCCAAGAGCAGGAAUGUUGGGCUACCACAGGCACUUAGGCGGCACAAGCCGGACUACACCCUUGUAGAUCCUGAAUGAGAUUGAACCAGAAUACUAAACAACAAGUUGACAAUCACUACUAGAUAGGUUAUAGUAGUUGGAUUUUCUUGACAUGCUUGGCGUAGGGUUUGACUUUUGGGAUAUUUAGUGUACUUGACAUUAUCGCUUAUUACAUUGUAGUACACCUUGCUGCCAUGAUAGUACAUACUAGAUAUGUAGUGGGCUCUGGAAUAUAUAUCACACUUUAUAGCAUUACUUGUUACAUCAUGAUACAUUGUUUAAGUUUUGGGCAUAUUGGAUCAUGUAGAGUAGAUGUACUCCAUGUUGACAUUCAGAAUACUUGUGGCAUAGUAGAGUAGCAUUUUAAUUUCAUGCUUCAAUUACUGUUGAUAUUUNNNNNNNNNNNNUGGGUGAUCCAGAUAGGUCCGUAUUCAUAAAGUUCCUUACUUAUCAUUGGUCACGAUUACGUAGAUUAUGAUACGGACGUUUCCUUACAGUCACCUAUAUACAUAAGUAGUUAUAUAUCAUACGUACGUACGAACAAGAAAUGGUAGGGAAACAGAAAGACAUGGGUUAGAAUGGCCAAUUGAUACAAUUGGGGUUAUCGAGUGGUAAGGUAAAGGGUAGAUGGCCCCCUCCGAAAUUCGUGUUGGCGGGCUCCCUAGCAGCUGCCCCAUGAAGGGGCAACCACAGAUGUGAAGCUUCAUGUGGCGAACUCCUCCUCGCUGGAGGAGUUCAGAUUCAGGUGCACUCGGAGCUAGGCUAGGAGAUCAACUCCUAUGUUUCGGUGAUCAAUGUUACGGUGAAGAUAUUAUCCAAAGGAUGGAUAAACAAGUACAGUGAAAGACCAGUAAAAGCAGUUACCGUUAGAACAGAGAUAUCAGUUACAGUGGAAACAAAUGAUACCAGUUCAGGUUCAGAGUGUAAGUGUGUAGAGAGCCCAAGUUAGUAUGUACAGGUAAAGCCAAGAACAAGUUAGUGAUAUAGGUAGAUGUAUUCUUCGUAUUAUAACUUCAAGAUCAGAGAUCAGUGUACAUUCUAAAGGGAUGAUACGUACUUACCGAUAUAUUAUUUUACGAGUUGUUUUCACUUUGUCUGUAUCUUCCCUUAGGUUGCUAAGGCCGCACGUGGGGGGUGGAGAUUAUUAGCACACCCACACCUUACACUGCUGGGGGCUUGAAAUGCUUUCGGCUAAGGCGCGGGAUAUUGGUUUUAUCACGGUAUAAUCCGGAAAACAUGUACUUGAUAUAAUAUUGUAAAAGCAUUACAGUUUGCCUCAACAGGGUGCGCAAAUCCCGUGGGGGUUAAUCCAAAGAUGUGCCAGUUAAGCAGGGGCUUUUUAGGAUCCCGUUUUCGGGGUUAAGGGUUCGGGAUUGUUACGGUAAAUCCCAAAGAGAACCUAACUAGAGUAACAAUUCGUUUUCUACCGAAUCUUAGUAGGUUCUUCGUAGGAUGAUUCCAAAGAUUUGGAAACCUUAGUUGGGAUCCCGAAGAUUGGGUUGAAAGUUCCUAAGUGGUACUCUCGUGGAACUCGAGAGUACACAUGGUACCGUAGGUACCGAGUUUUCUCGGAGAUUUCAGAGAUUCCUCGUGUUUCGAGGUUUGGGAAUUCGGUUUUAGGUUUUGGAUCUCCUUUUGAACGUUCUUGAGUGGAGAUCAGGUUCGAGGUGGUUCUGAGAAGAACAACCUCUCGAGGAUCUUGGAGGUUUUGUGGUUUAGGUGGAAGAAGAGGUUUAAGAAGAAGAAGAAGAGGUUCAAGAUCUCCUCAAGAUCUCUCUCUUUCUCUCUUUUACUCUCUCCUCCUCUCUUUACCGACACCCUCUCUCUCCUACCGGGUAUAUUUCACAACAUUGUUAACGUGAAUUCGGGGAGGUGAAUAAAGGGUACUAGACGGGUCUGACCCGUAAAAAGCGGAAGCCCCUGGCCAGAGGUGCUGGUCCCUGGCCAAGGGCUUGCACCCCAAAAGUCCUGAAUCGGUUUAAAAGCCCAAAAAGUCGACGACGCAUCACUCCCUGUCCAGACGGAGAGGUCCUGGCCAGAGGGCUCCUGGCCAGAGUGGUGGUCCCUGGCCUACGGAGUCCUAAAGGACCGUCCGAUGCGCGUGCCCCUGGCCAGAGAGGAAGUCCCUGGCCAGGGGCUCUCGAGCUUUAGACCCUGAAUCGGUCUAAAAGUCUAAACGAGAGAGCCCAAGGAAAUCGAAGUAAAUACCUGAGAUUACGUGGAUCCCAGGUACGAUUGAGCGAGGUGAGGCCCAAGGUGAGUAAAGCUGCCUUGAGCCGUGCUAAAUGCUCCCUGCACCAUACAAUGUGGCUCGGAGAGGGCCUCACCUUCCGAGACUUUCUUUUGUAUUUUGUCCCCCGCACUCUUGAUAUUUAAUAUCAAGGGUCACCCGUUAAUGACUGGACGUAAGUCGGCGAGGUCGGAUGCCGAACCCACUGGGAACUUCGUUGUAGUUCUCACACCACUAACCCUACAGGUCCAAGCACGAGCGGGGCGGCGGAGGACCGAGGCAACGGUAUAGCGCCGUAGAUAGCGGCCACCGGGACUUUUCCUAUUUUGUAGCCAUUUCCCUUUAAUAUAUGCAUCAACUUUAUUUUGUUGAGUUAGAAAGUUGUAAAGUUGAAAACAAUAUGUAAUUGGUGAAUGGCUAAGUGUAAAGAAUUAUGAACGAAAGCAUGAAAUGUAACAAUUUAGUUUCCUUGUAUUUGGUGCAAAAGCAAUCAAGUAUUAUUUAUGGGUAAAUAUAUUAGCUUAGAGCUUUCGCUUCUGUUGUUGCUUGCCCUCGUGCAAGCCUUGUAUAAAUGCUAAUCUCAUUGUUUGAUUGCUUUACUAUACAUGGUUUAGAGCCUUGGACGGACAGGGGAGGCUCUGUCCGUUCAGCGUCUGUUGACGUGACCCGAACCCGACCAAAUUGGCGGGGAUUGGGGCGUGACACUCGGGAUCGCGGGAAAGGUUUCGCCUCGAGUUAGCUAUCGAGGGACUUGGUGAUAGGUGGUCCACCUCUCUUUUGUUUUCUUUUGUAGAGGUUAUGAGAGUUUUGUACCUGGUUAUAGAGACCACCCUAUUUUUGUAUCUUGAGAUUUAUGAUGUAUCAGUUUACUUUAUGCUUUAGUAGUAUGAUUUUCUUUUGAUUCUACCUGAUGUUAGAACCUAGCUAUAUACUUGCUCUGAUAUCUCUAGUUGCAGAUCUUCUCAUUCUUUAUUCUUCCGCUUUUGUGUAGACGCCUUAUAUGUGUAAACAUAUGGCGGGUCUGGGCGCGCACCGGGCAGGCCUAUGCCGUGUCCCGGGGCGUGACAGAUUAAUUUGGUAUCAGAGCCUAGGGUUGAGUCUUAGUGGACCUAGCGAACCUUAGGCCGGUUGGACUAUAGGAAUUAGACUCGUGAGAGACGAAGGCUAUUUAAUUUAUGAGCGAAAGUAUCAUGAUUGGGUUUCCUUGAUAACUCCAAAAUGUUGGAGUUGAAUCGAAGUGUAUGGCUUCUAACUUCGUGGAGGGUUACGUUGGCGGCCGACGACGUAACAUCAGGAGUUAGUAGUUGGGACACUUCUUUACUUUCGCAUGAUUUGGAGUGUGGUUAUUUGAGCGGGGUUGCGAUAGCGUGGGUUAUAUUAACUUGCGCUUUUAUGAUGUUGUAGUGUUGAUGCCGACUACACGCUCUAAGUCUGUUAGAGCGGAAGAUGCGGCGACUUUUGAGGAAGCGGAGACAUCCGCUACCUCCCGAUCCGGUGAGGUCCGUGAGUUGAGGAGCCAACUUGCCGCCCUCACCGAUUUGGUGACGCAGCAGGCGGCGGCGGCCCAGCAGCAGGCGGACACGGCACGACGGCAGGAGGCACGGAUGCAGCGCCUGGAGGACCUUCUAUUACAGCAGGCAGCUGCUAGGGAGGCUCAGGUCUCGGUACUACCCGCGCCAGUGGAGACAGUUGCACCCGGGGGGGGUCGUCCCCUGUAUUCGACACUUCGCAGACGACACUUACGGUAGCCCAUCGGGAGGAGGUAUUGGCAGCACCACCAGCUCAGUUGCCUGUGGCAGCGGCGACUUUUCCCUUGAUGGUUGAAAGAGCGGAGCGGCAGCGGCUCAUGGAUCGCCUCGAUGAGUUCAGGAGGUGCGAUCCCAGGAUCUUUGAUGGAGAGAAAGCCGACCACCGGAUCGUUGAGAAGUGGUUGAUGCAUGNGGUAUCAGAGCCUAGGGUUGAGUCUUAGUGGACCUAGCGAACCUUAGGCCGGUUGGACUAUAGGAAUUAGACUCGUGAGAGACGAGGUCUAUUUGAUUUAUGAGCGAAAGUAUCAUGAUUGGGUUUCUUUGAUAACUCCAAAAAGGUUGGAGUUCGAUCGAAGUGUAUGGCUUCUAACUUCGCGGAGGGUUACGUUGGCGGCCGACAACGUAACAUCGGGAGUUAGUAGUUGGGACACUUCCUUACUUUCGCAUGAUUUGGGGUAUUAGCAUUUGAGCGGGGUUGCGAUAGCGUGGGUUGUGUUAACUUGCGCUUUCAUGUUGUUGUAGUGUCGAUGCCGACUACACGCUCUAAGUCUGUUGGAGCGGACGAUGCGGCAACUUUUGAGGAAGCGGAGACAUUCGCUACCUCCGGAUCCGGUGAGGUCCGUGAGUUGAGGAGCCAGCUUGCGGCCUGUCACGCCCGGGUACCAGCGGAAGCAUAUCCGGCACGUGCACAGACCCGCCAUACACCUGCAGUAUAUAAGGCGUCUACAAGAAGCAAGUCGAUAGGAAGUAAAACAAGAGAGUCCUAUCCUGAUAUCAGAGCAAAGUACAAGACGAUAUACCACGAGUAUCCAAUCCGAGUCAAUAUACAAAGAGUAUACAAUCCACAAUCUCAGCAAAAAGGAGAAGUAACACCACUACAAUCUCAACCCGAAAGUAAAAAUACAACAGAGGGUAUACAAAAAGAAUAGGCACAACGGUGGUCUCUCUAUACAUAGGGACAUCACCCUCGGCUGAAGUCCGAGUAACAAGGUGAUGACUAGCACGCUCCUAGUAGUCCCUAGCUAGGCGCGACUCCCUUGCCACGAUCCCUAGCCUCUCCUGUAACAGGCUCUGUAAAAACAACCACCAAAAGGGCGUGAGAACUAUAAACAAUAGUUCCCAGUGGGUAAGCCGCCAGCCUCGGCGAAUUACACCACUAGGCUCAUGAUGUACUAAAUGGAAAUAAAAGCAGUAAUUUGCAUGAUAUACUUUCAAUGCUAACAACUAAAGAACAUAUAAUCAUAGUCUCAACAGUAAUGAAUCAACUGAUUAAUAGAAGCAUAGCAACUACUAUAAGCAUGAACAAAAGCAUAAAUGUGUAAGUAACUACUGUACACUGUAACUGGUAAUCAUUCAUUACUGUCCAAUAUCCUUUAGCACUUUCCUUUCAUUCACAGGGAUCUACUCAAGGUAGUCCAGCUUGCGCCGCGCCUAAUGGCCCCGUGGUAGUAUACACUCCCCACGGCAAUCCACUUCGGCACCCAAUCCCGCACGGGCGAGCAACUGUCGCGUAGGCCAACUCCGGAGUGCCGGCUUGUAGGGAGCUACCCUCACAAGCGUGUGCGAAUGAGCACGAUGGCAAGCAAGCAAAGUUCACUGUCCACAUGUCUCAAUUCUCAUGUUUUCAUUUGCAAUGUUCUCGCUCUCGAUCCUUUGAUCGACAUUUCAGUAUAACAAAUAUUAACAACAACUAGAAUCCACUAGUUUAGUAAGCAUGCAGGAGUAAUGCUACUUUACAUAUGGCAUUAGAAUCUUUCACUAUCAUGGCACUAUCAACAUAGGCACAAGCAUGUCAUAGUUCUCUACUUUAGAGUCAAGAGAAUGUUAUUGUUCUCUACUUGUAAUCAAGCAAGUAAAAAGAGAAUGUCAUUGUUCUCUACGUUUCAUGAGCAUAAUAACGUGUCAUUGUUAUUCAACUAAACCAAACAGGAAUAUGAAUACUUUCAGGCGUGAGGAUUCUCUACUUCAUAGAGAUUCUAUGUCAAUAUAGUAAAUGUUAUGAUGACGAAUUCUCGAGCCCUUUAGCUAUCACAUAAGCACACAACUAACGCAUUUCUAUAAUACAUAUAGAACAUAGAGGAGCUUCACUUGCUCUGGUUAGGUCCGACCCACCUAGUACUAGGCUCCAAAUAGUCCCAAGGAUCAACUCCACAAGUCUCCAAUCCUGCUGAACACAAGCAACAACAUCGCGUCAAAACGACGACCGGAAUAUCCGACUUUGGCCCAAAUUAUCCUUAAUACAAGGUAAUAACUUGAAUCCCUGCUUAGGGCUAGUUUAAUACCUCAAGAUAUGUCUCCAAGAGUUCCCACAAGUCAGCUAACGACGAUCCAAGGUUCGUUCGCACUCUCGCUGCGAACAACAACGAGACGGCAUCAAUAUCAUCAUAUAUUAGCAAAUAUGGUCGAAAUCUUGCGAAUUCAGUUUUCUAACUGAAAUUCCUGCGUACCUCAAGUUAGAACACCUUCUGAACCAACCUCCCAAGUCACCGAAUAAGCUCAAAUAAUAUCGGAAACCUGCUGCGAAGAAGUGAUCCCAAACUGCAUCAAGUAGCGGUAAUUACUCGCGUUUAAUUCCAAAUUAGCUUCAUAAUGAACUAAUUAUUGCUACUAAGCUUCAACAUGGCUUAUCCCUGAUCUAAGGGGGUUCAUUCACAGCUAAUUAACUCAUAAAUACAUGCUGAAAUCUCAGUUUAAAGCACAGCCAAGAGCAAAAAUCCGAAAUCGCUACUCAAAUCGACGAAUAGAACGUCGAUAACGACAAAAGUGAGUCGAUUACCUUCUUAAGUUUCCAACCAGUGACCUGCUGAUCCAGGGCUGCGAAAACCUGUCCAAAACACUCCCUCACACGUCCAUGUAGGCUCUGCAACACUCCCAAACAGCGAAGGGCGAGCUCGGCGACGACAACGGCGCAAAACGGCGACUUUUCUCUAGAGAGAGAAAAACCCUAGAGAGAGAGAAAGAGAAAAAUGGGAGAACCCUUCUCUGGACUCCAGACCCUUCCACAGUACUCCUGGAGUCGUGCUGGAGGUUAUAGAUAGGGAUCAAAAUGUGAAAAGACCAAAAUAGCCUUGCUGGCCCGAAUUGCCACUGUGUACCGGUACACCAUUGCGGCUGUACCGGUACAGCAAGCAGAAAAGGCUGAUUUUCGCCAGUUCAAUGCACUUUCUCACUUUUCGCAUUCCAAACAUCCUCUAACUUAUCCAAACACUUGUUCUAACCUUUUAGAAGAUGUAGGAGUGAUCCACACACCAUUCCACAUACUCGAACUCCGCAAUUUGCAAAAGUUCAGUGUAUUACACGGCCCUCACUGACUUUGUGACGCAGCAAACAGCGGCGGUUCGGCAGCAGGCGGAUACGGCACGCCGGCAGGAGGCACGGAUGCAGCGCCUGGAGGAUCUUCUAUUGCAGCAGGCAGCUGUCAGGGAGGCUCAGGUCCCGGUACUACCCGCGCCAGUUGAGACAGUUGCGCCCGGGGGGUCGUCCCCUGUACUCGACACUCCGCAGACGACACUUGCGGUAGCACCUCGGGAGAAGGUAUUCGCAGCACCAACAGCUCAGGUGCCUGUAGCAGUAGCGACUUUUCCCUUCUUGGUUGAAAGAGUGGAGCGGCAGCGGCUCAUGAAUCGCCUCGACGAGUUCAGGAAGUGCGAUCCUAGGAUCUUUGAUGGAGAGAACGCCGACCACUGGAUUGUUGAAAGGUGGUUGAUGCACAUGGAAAAGUUAUUCCGCGACACCUUCGUGGAUAAGAGAGACAGAGUUUGGCUCGCCACUCACUACUUGGACGGUGAGGCCUAUAGCUGGUGGGUGGGUAUCCAGGAUAAUCCCAACAUCGAUUUAGCAGCGAUCUCUUGGAAGAAGUUUAAGGAGCUCUUAUUGGAACACUACUUCCUCGUCCGUGUUAAGAGGAAGAUGGAGCAGGAUCUGCGCGAGAUGCGCCAGGGGGAUUGGACCGUGGCCGAGUACGAGAGGGAGUUCUCUCGGCUUCUACACUACGCGCCCUUUGUCGUGUGGGACGACGAGGAUAAGGCCCGCAUCUUCGAGCGAGGACUUCGGCCGUCAAUUUUUCGGUUGGUGCAACCCUCCAACCCUCGGACUUACCAAGAUGUGGUGAACCGCGCGCUCAUCGUGGAAAGCUGCGCGGCAGACUUACAGGAACGUCGGAAAGGCGCAAACAAAGGAAAUGGCAAGAGACCCGUGACUGAGGGUGCGAGUCAGACGCACUCUGGGAGGCCGUCGAGACAUUCCAGGAACCAGAGCCAGUCGAGAGGACGUGGCUCAUCAGCAGCACGGCAUGGAGGAUCCGAGCGUCGUAAGACUCUGAGCUGCGUGAUUUGCGGUGGCCGUCAUUACCCGCAGCAGUGCUCACAGAGGCAGGGCAGGUGCUAUUCGUGUGGCCAGGGGGGUCACUUCCGGUUAGACUGUCCGAGAGGUUUGGUAUCAGCGCCAUCUUCAGCACCGGCACCAGUAUUACCGAGAACCAGCCAGGGGACGCCUUUUGCUCACUAUCAGGCCGGGAGGCCACUUGUCCAGAGACAGACGGAGGGGUCACGGUAGGCCCCGAGUGGGCGCAUGUAUGCAGCCCAGGUGGAGGAGGCAGCAGUGGCCGAGUUUGUGAUUACAGGUAUCAGCUCCUUUGUGGCAUUCGAGUUGUGCAUUGUUUGUUACUGGUGCAUGGCAUCUAUGAUCGGCUAUUCGCCGAGUUGCAUGGCAUUUCGUUGGUUCGCUGUUUGUGACAUUGAGUAACCCCUUGAGCUAGGCGGUUGAUUUACGGGUUGCGGGUAGCAUGUUUUGUUAUGCUUGUAGAUCUCACGAGGAUUGCGUUAGUUACAUUCCUGGAUCGGCUAUUUGCCGUAUGGUGCUUGGAGACGACCGUGCUUGGACCAUUUGGGGACUGUGGAGCCUGGGCCCGUUGGGUAGGCGCAGUCGGCUGUGUGUGACAGCGGCCCGGUACCUAUGGGUAGGGCAGAGUUUUGGUCGGGACGGUAGUCCGAGCGUAGACCCUAGAGCGUUGGAAGCCACGUGUUGGAUCGUGAGAUCGAGGACAUGCCGAGUGUGUAGUUACCCAACCCGAGGAUUUGUUAGCGUUGAACUUUUCGACGCAUGUUGGAUGAUCAGUUGAGCGGGUGUGUCGUUUCGAGCACCCUACCACGUGAGAUGGUUUUGUGUGCCAACAAUAGAUUGACCUUCCUUGAUGUGGAGUUGUUGUGGGUACUUGGUACCCUUGGAUUGCGAGCUGAUUUGACUCGCCUUGGGGACUUUGAGCACAAAAUAGUGCGAUUUGAGGGUUUACUUUCGCUAGUUGCGUUGAUUGUCUCCCUUACCUAAAAUUGGGUGAGCGUUGGAGAGGAUUUGGGGCCUAAUUGGCCAUUAGUUUUUGGUGAUCAAGGAUCCUCGUAAUGAAGAAUGUCUUUGAUCGGUUGUUGUGCCCCCGACCGAGACACAAAUCGUGAACUCGAAUUGGCGGGGAGGUACUAUGGUUGGUGUUUUGUUUCGUGACGCAGCACUCUCACUUGUUCUGGGACCGGUUGGGCUGUUUUGACUGUAUGUCGACUCUCGUGAUUCAAAUUGAACCACGAUUGGAGGUUUGGACCGUUGACAUCCAGAAUACUUGUGGCAUAGUAGAGUAGCAUUUUAAUUUCAUGCUUCAAUUACUGUUGAUAUUUCCUGUUAUCAUUAUUUGCUCGUUUUGGGCCUAGUGGUGCAAUUUGGUGCAGGUCAGUAAUUGCCCACUGGGAACUAUAAUUUAUAGUUCUCACGCCCCCUGUUUUAUAUUUUCUUUCAGAGCCUUCCACUCCGGGAGAGGCUCGGGAUUGCGGGAAAGGUUUCGCCUCGAGUUAGCUAUCGAGGGACUUGGUGUUAGAUGGCCCACCUCUCUUUUGUUUUCUUUUGGAGAGGUUGUGAGAGUUUUGUACCUGGUUAUAGAGACCACCCUAUUUUUGUAUCUUGAGAUUUUUGAUGUAUCAGUUUACUUUAUGCUUUAGUAGUAUGAUUUUCUUUUGAUUCUACCUGAUGUUAGAACCUAGCUAUAUACUUGCUCUGAUAUCUCUAGUUGUAGAUCUUCUCAUGCUUUACUCUUCUGCUUUUGUGUAGACGCCUUAUAUGUGUAGACAUAUGGCGGGUCUCGGCGCGCACCGGGCGGGCCUAUGCCAGGUCCCGGGGCGUGACAGAUCAAAACCAUGGUUUGGUCUAGGGGUGAGGCUUGAAGGUAAGCUCCACCUUCUCUCAUGGUGGAACCCUAAGUAGGGUUUUAAUAAGGCUAAGAAUGAUUUAGAUGGACUCUUUAGAGUAUAAUGAGGCUACUUUUACUUCCCAAUGAGAUCAAACCCUAGGUUUGAUGAUGCUAUGGAGCUAGGGCACCCUAAUUGGGGCUUUUGCUCACGAGGGUUCUAAAGUGCAAUUGACCCUCUAGAAACCUAAUUGGGGGUAUUUCCGACACGUUGGUGCACUCGGAAAAACAUUACGAAAAGCCAAUGUGAAGAUAUGGGCAAAAUGACCUAAUUUGGCUUCGUUUUGCCGCAGGUGAAGAACGAGGUCUAAAAAUUCCAAGAAAAACAUCGGAGCACCUGUAAGGUACCGGACUUCUAAAAUCAUGAAGUUACGGUGUACAUUUGGUUUGAAAGCCAUUUGAAUGGUUCUGGUGAGGUUACGAUGGAAUGCAAUAUACCGGAUUUUUAAAUAUAAAAAUGAAAAUAAAUAAAAAUAGUAUAAGAUACUAUUUUUAUUGGAUUUAGAGGAGUAAAACAUAAGUCAGAAGUGACUUGUGCUGAAAUCGGAAUGAAAACAGAAGAUCUAGAAUUUUCUGUUGGAAACGGGACAGAUAAAUUAGCGGAAAAUGCACAGUCUCAGAAAAUUAUAAAAAUUGGAGGAUAAGUCAGAAAUAUUUUUAUGAGAUUAGAUUUAAAGUUUCAUAUUUUUCUGACACCCGUAGAGUGAGAAAUAAAAUCCGACAGCUAUCUGAUAAAGAUUACAGUUCGGUACAAUUUUCAGUGACCAAACGGGGUCAAAACUGAAAACUUAAGAUAUAUUCUUACUCAGUACGUUAAACCGAAGCUACCUGUCAAAUUUGAGCCCAAACGGACAUUUAGAAGGACUCCAACUGUUCCGAACUGCUAAAACUGCCUGGAAUGAAUAGUGUUUUGAGGGUGUUAAUUAAAGAAGCCUUUUGCUUCGUCCUCAGCCGACCACACCCAUGGCCACACACACACGCACGCAUGGAGGGGGGGGAGAAACCCUCAUUUCUCUCUCUAAAGAUCUCUCUCAUCUCUCCAAAUCUCUCGCUCAAAUUCGCGGCGUUGGUAGAGAAGAUGCUUGCGAACGCAUUAAUUGGAGGCGACGGAUCGAGCUUUCGUGCGCCCGUUGGAGCGGCGUAUUUUCGUCGCGGCGUUCACAUUGAGGUAAGCUUUUGGGAUUUGGCUUAAUCCUUAAUGCUUAGUGUUCUAAUAGCCUCUAAUGAGCUUUGUUAGCAUGUUGAUCCAUUUAAUUUGGAUUAUUUUUAGGUUAAUUGCAUAUUAGGGCUCCGAAUGGGAUUUUGUAAAAUAUAAGGGUUUGAUCUAAUUUGACCGUCCGUAAACCUAAUUGCUAGGUAAACGAACGCGUUGGCGAAGUCGGUUCGGCGAUUCGUCGAGCCGGUGCGAAGUUAUUAAAGAAACGGACGUUUAGGCUUCGUUUUCGCCUGGAGGGCCGAGGCGACAUCGUAAACCCAUGAAAACGGAUUUGAAACACCGUGGCACAUAACCGAAGACCUUUAAUUUUCGGAUCGUGGAUUAGAGGCCGUCCGGGUGGUCGCGCAAGAGAUCGGGCCAAACCGGAUUACGGGUGCCGCGGGAGGCCGAUUGCAAGUGUCGACAAGUAAUCAGAAAGCGAUUCGAGGUGGGUUGUGCUUACCGAAGCGACUAGGUCGCCCUUUAUGUUUAAGAAACAUACGAAUUCACAUUGAUGCAUAUAGUUGUAUUGGUAGGCUUACAUGAUAAUAUGAAUGCUUGAAACAUAUUAUGUAGUUGAUAUUACCUACCAAUGAGAUGAAAUGUAUAAUGAAUUAAGUGGUAAAAGAAUGCAUGAGAUGCUAAAUAUAGACUACUUUGGAUGAUGAUUAAAUGUAUGUUGACAUAUCAUACAAUGUGCAUGACGACAUGUUGUGAAUUAACAUAUUGUGGAUUAUGUUAAAUAGAAACAUAUACAUGAUGACAUAUAUUGCAUAUGAUAGAAGAAUUAUACAUGUUGCCAUAUUAGGAAACUUAUGGAUGAAUUAAUCAUGUUGAAUCUUGUCGAUUAGUAGAAAUUUGACAUGGACAAACCAAGAACACCGAGUGCAUAUAACUGUAGGUAUUUUUCCACUCCCAAGAAUUUGAAAUCCUAGGAUAGAUGAAACCCUUAGGAGUAAAUGCCUUAUGGAUAAGAAUAUAAUAAACCUAAUACUCUCAUAUUGAGAGUGUAGAGGUUAUCAGAUAUUACCCUAUUGUAGACAACCUCACUGAAGAUCGGAUUGGAUAUUUGAACUCUAGUAUAUACGGAGCAUCCCCUCACUUGGGAUGAGGAUUGGAUGGAGGGAGUGCGUUGGAACCCUAUUGUAGGCGUAUCCUCACUUGAGAGAAAGAUCUAGCUCAAGAUCUGAGUAUCUGGGAUGGUAUAGCCAUCAAAAUCCGCUCAAACAUGGAGGGAUUGUCGUCCUAGGUAUUCCCGAGUGUCGCGCGACUGAGACACUUUGGAGUCCGCAACUCCACAGUGGAGGUCCGCAACGGUCCCAUAGCUUGGUGCACUUGAGCUCCCUCCACUUUGGAUGAAAGGUGAGUUAUUGCAUGGACCCUAGCUUACGCUACAGAUUGGUCAAAAGAACAUUGAACAAUGCCAUGAACAUAUUAUUCUAUACAUGGAUCGAAUUUGUAGCAUGAAGUAAAUCCUUUACUAUUUGAUGCAUGAUGAGUAUUAGUUGCAUCCCAGAUGAGUGGAUUAGGUGCCGAGUCAUAUGUAGACUUUCUUCCAUUGGAGCCUACGGCUUUGUGCGGUAGUCUCCCGACAUAUGAUUGACUCAAGACCGAGUCGAGUGGUAUUAGCUUCAUGAAACAGUUAAAACCUAUGACGAAUUUGUAAUUGACAGAACUAACGAUAAGCGAAAACUUAAAUGAAGUCAAUUAAGGUGAACUCCGGCAUGAACCGAUAAAAUAGUAUCAGAUUGAACACAAAUCAGUUGUUGCAAUCCAUUGCAAUAAACUUGCAUGAAUAUCAUAUUUGCUUUGGAGCACAAACAGUAGAUCAAUACUUGCAAUAAUAUAUCUGUUGGAUACUCUGUUGGCACUAACAGCUUGCAGGGCAAUCCUUUUAGGCCGGCUAUUAGUCGAGCGUUUCCACUUGGUGAUCGCCGGGACUCCACUAGAACUAGAGUUGUUCUCACCCAACGUUUUUCCAGCCGUUGUACCAGUUGCGCAAACAACAUGACGUACGCGGCGGCAGGAAGGCGAGUCGCGUAGCUCAAAUAGGCGCCCUAUCCCCAAAACCCCCCGAGACGAAGAUAAGGUACCUCCGAGCGUCCCCGGCAUAAUCGUAAGGGAUAGAAGGAAAAGAAAAGAAAGUAGCAACUUUAAAUAAAUUGUUCGACAUUAAUUGUAGUAUGGAUAGAAAAUUCAUGUAAUAACAUCCCUAAUGUGAUGUAAAUGAAUCUAAUGUAAAGCUUGUAAUAACAUACAGGAUGUUUACUCGUGAUACUUCCUAUGAAUCUUCGCUUGAAUACUGUCUCUUCUGUCGUUUUGAACUCUUGUACAUUGUAUUGUAUGGCGACGCCUAGGAACGUACAGGGACACUCUGCCGUUUCGGCGUGCUGUCGGGCCGCCCUGCGACCCCAAAUAGGCGUGUAUCGUGAGUCGUACAGCACCUACGAGCUGGUGGUGCCUAUUCAAAAAAUCAUGAACCACUUCUAUAGUCCUAAUGGGUCAUUCAUUCAAAUCAUACUUUACAUACAUUGUUUGCACUGCAUUAAUGUAAAGUAAAGAAAAGUAAAUUGUUGUGGCAUUAUGUGAUUACAUCUGCUCUAAAUGAUGGUUGAAACAUAUAGAAUGUUGAACCUCUAUAUGUAUGCAUGAGAGGACAAUGAGCACCACAAGUGAAGGCAAAAGAAACAAAGUACACUAUGCUAGAUCGAGUGCAUUUGAUAAUUAAAGUAAAGAAAUAUAGUUAGCUCGUGGGGCAGAGAAUCAAUGUGAUGUAAAGAUAAUGACAAUGGCUAAAGUUAAUACAAAGUGUGGCAUCAAGAAUGAAGAAUGAAAGAAUAAUGCAAAGUGGGGCAAAAAGAACAUGUAAAGAGCAAAGAACAAUGAUUGCUAGAGUUAGCAACAUAAAGUGAUGUAAAGGACACUAGAGUUAGUGUAAUGACCUGAUUGAACUUAUAAUCCUUAGAGUUAAGGAUUCGAUCAUACUUGCUAUGAGUUCCGUGCUUGAGGGCGGUCGCACCCCCUCAAGCGAUGCGCUCCGGAGUUUUUGCAUCACGGGUUGGAGUAAACCCGAGGACGGUCCUAGCGGGUGAGUUUCUGCGAUGAUGGACUUAAUGUGAACCAAGUUUAAUAAGGUGAAACCCCCGGGUUAGCCGUGCGAUUAAAGAACAAAGAACAAAGAACAAAGAGCAAAGAACAAAGAAUAAAGAGUAAAGAACAAAGCCCUUGCAUAAUCUGCAUAACUAUGUUGAGCAUAUUCCUUGCUUUAUUGUUUAGGCAUAUUAGCAUCAUGUUGUAGAUUGGUUACUAUAUUUCAGCUUAUCCUUUCUAUUAUGCUUGAGUUAGUCCUAGUGGGAAAGUCGGUGAUGUUGGGGCCGAACCCGCUGGAAACUUUGUUGUAGUUCUCACCCCACUAUUUCCACAUAGCCGGGACCGAGUGAGCCGGCGAGCGACCGAGGUAAAGGUAUCGCGCCUUAGACAGAGGCCACCAGAGUUGAGCUUGGUUUAUAUUUUGUUAGUAGAAUACACUAUGUUCAUCUUUUGUAUUUGGUGACUAAUGAUGUAAAGAAAAGAAUGUAAAGCUUAUUGUGAGGUAAAUGUGAUGUAAAAAGAAAUGAUGCAAGCGAUGUAAUGUAAUGAAAGGCAAAGAAUCAUGAAUGUAAAGGGAUACAUGUAUGUGAUCAAAGUGAAUCAUAUUACUUGUGUAGAUGUUUAGUUCCUUUCUCUCACUUAUGGCUACCGCUUACCCUCGUGUAAGCUGUGUUUGUAUGUUUCCGCUAGCGCACUUCUUAUGUGAAAAUGUACAUGUGAUGAGCCUUGGGCGGAUAGGGGAAAACUCUGUCCGUUCGGCGUCUGUUGACGUGCUCGCACCGGCCCCAAAUUGGUAUCGGUCGAGGGGCGUGACAGAUAUUAUGGUAUCAGAGCGCCCAAGCGUGAAAGAAUAGGAAUGGACCUAGAGACCUAUAGGAUUGGAAGACCUUAGGGGCCUAGGAAACAUGAGUGACGUGAAAUUAAAGUUAGCGAAAGCAUAUGAUUGGGUUAAGUUGGGACGUCUCUAAUGUGAUUAGAGGCUAGGUUUAAUUAUCAUUCGUUCGUUAUUUCUCAUGUUAUGUCGGGCGGCCGACGACAUGACACUUGAGGCAAGGAUGAAUGUGUAUGUUGCUUUCGCCGGAUGGGGUAUGGUCAAGUAAUGUCGGUUAUGUGGCUAAUGCGAGUUGCUUCUUUUCAGGAAGCAAUGGCACCUCGACGUCGAUCGCAGACAAGGUCGAUGCCGGAGGAGCCGAGCGUAGAGCCUGAGCGACCCGGAGCGAGUGGCGACGAAGAGCUUAAGGAGCAAAUGGCCGCGCUCAUUGGAGCAGUGCGGCAACAGGCGCAGUCUAUUCAUAGCCAAGGGGAGCAGAUUCGGCGGCUCCAGGAGACCUUGGAGCGUCAGCAAGCAGCGGCGGCCCAGGCGAGUGUCGAGCAUGCUACACCCCCUGUGGUAGUGCCGAGUGUUGUUGUGGGAGCAGCGGAGCCAGUUGCGGCUGUACCAGUCACGGCGGUGCCGGCCGGAUCGGGAACCUCGAAUCCCGAUGGUGCGGCAGUCGAUGCGGAGCGAGAGCGCAUGUUGGCGGCACUUAUUUAGUUCCAGAAGUUCAACCCACCUACCUUUGAGGGUGGAAUGGUGGAGCCGACAGUUGUGGAGUCGUGGAUCGACUCGAUGGAGACCCUAUUCGAGGACUUUAAUACCUCAGAGAAGGAUAAGGUGUAUCUCGCCACCCAUUGCCUUGAAAAAGCGGCGAAGGUGUGGUGGAAGCGAGUGAAGCGGGAUCGUCCUACCGAUCUUCCGCUUAUGCUAUGGGAAGAGUUCAAGAGAGCAGUCUUCGCGAACUACUUCUCCGACACGGUGAAGAGGAAGUUGCAGGAAAAGUUCCGCAAGCUGCGACAGGGUGAUCGAUCGGUGGGGGAGUACGAGCAAGAAUUCUCCCACAUUAUUGACUGCGUUCCCGACGUUGUUCGUGAUGAUCGUGACCGGGCGGAUUGGUUCUUGCAAGAACUCCAGCCUCGAAUUUAUGAGAAGGUGCAAAUCCUAAAGUUGUCGACCUUUGUAGAGGUCUUCGAUAGAGCGUUGUGGGCGGAGCAUGGUAGUGCCCAUGUACGUGAGGAACGGGAGGCCCUAGCCGAGUCGAAGGAUAAGGGCAAAAAGCGAACGGCGGGUAGUGCCGGGGGCCGGUCAAGUGCGAAGAAACCCCCUCGGUAUCCCCAACGCAGUCGAGGAGUUGGAGACCACCUCGAUGUGUUGUUUGUGGUGGAGAGCAUAAGGUGUUGGCUUGCCCGCAGAGCGAUGGCAAAUGUUUCAAGUGUGGCCAACCGGGACAUCGUAUCCGGGAGUGCCCGACAUGGUCGUCUUCUGCGCCGACAGUGGCAUUAGCACUGUCUACCCCGAGACAGCUUGCGGAGUUACUACCAGCGAUGUUGGCUGGGCGCACAUCAUCACCGCGUCAGCCGGAGGGAUCGAGAGCGCCUAGCGGCCGAGUCUUUGCCGCUCAGGUGGAGGAGGAGCAACAGCCUGCCGCACCCGACGAUGUCGUGGCAGGUAUAAUUAUGAUUAAUGGCACUAGAGCUAGAACAUUGUUCGAUACUGGUGCAUCACGAUCAUUUGUAGGCUCAAAGUUUGCAAAGGCACAUGGCAUAGAAAUGACACAUAAUGAUAAUUACUGGUGGGUGAAUGGUCCCGAGCACUCGUUUCGCGUUUAUGAUGAGUGCUUGGAGGUUCCGGUGCAGGUUGGCGACUGGAUCAUGCCAAUAGACCUACUGGUGCUAGACCGGAUGUGGGGCUUCGAUGUUAUUUUGGGGACCAAUUGGCUCUCCAAAUACUAUGCGGUCAUAGAUUGUGAAAGUAAGGUUAUCACUUUUCGUGAGCCUAACCAAAAGGAAUUCGUGUACCGGGCAUGCAAAGGUGCGCGUUUCGCGACGACUAUAUCGUCAGUGAGGGCUAAGAGAAUGAUCAAAGGAGGAUGUAAGGCCUAUUUGGCAACCAUGGUUGAUGGCCGUAGGGAGCACCCAGAUCUUGGAAGUAUCCGGAUUGCGUGCGAGUUUUCGGAUGUAUUUCCGGCGGAGUUACCAGGAUUGCCACAGGACCGGGAAGUUGAGUUCGUUAUUGAUUUAAUUCCCGGGGCGGCGCUAGUUUCGAAGGCUCCGUAUAGAAUGGCACCGGUGGAGUUGGUAAAGCUGAAAGGACAAUUACAAGACUUGCUCGAUAAAGGCUUCAUGAAGCCGAGCGUGUCUCCGUGGGGAGCUCCGGUGCUAUUUGUGAAGAAAAAGAAUGGCACACUUCGACUCUGCGUAGAUUAUCGCGAGUUGAACAAAGUGACGAUAAAGAACAAGUACCCGUUGCCGAGGAUUGACGAUUUAUUCGAUCAGUUGCAAGAGUCCAAGGUGUAUUCAAAGAUUGAUCUCCAGUCAGGGUAUCAUCAACUAAAGAUAAGGCUGAAGGAUGUGCACAAAACGGCGUACCGUACGCGGUAUGGCCAUUAUGAAUUCACAGUAAUGCCGUUUGGGCUUACUAAUGCCCCGGCAGCAUUUAUGGACCUAAUGAAUCGAGUCUUCAGGCCAUUGUUGGACCGGUGCGUCGUGGUGUUUAUAGACGACGUAUUGGUCUACUCGAAAAGCGAGGAGGAGCACGAAGAGCAUUUGAGAGCUGUGUUGCAGAUACUCAGGCAAGAGAAGCUCUAUACUAAGUUAAAUAAAUGUGAGUUCUGGUUGAAGGAAGUCACAUUUUUGGGCCACGUGAUAUCGGGCGACGGAGUGUCGGUAGACCCGAAGAAAGUAGAGGCAGUAAACGAUUGGCCUCGCCCGACGAAUGUAGCGGAGGUCCGCAGUUUUCUUGGACUUGCGGGCUACUACCGGCGGUUCGUGGAGAGGUUCGCCAAAAUAACCACUCCACUAACGCGCCUUACGCAUAAAGGAGUAAAGUAUGUUUGGAACGACGAUUGCGAUCGGAGCUUCGAGGAGUUAAAGAACAGGUUGACGUCGACCCCGGUUCUUGCUUUGCCGACUCCGGGGGAGAUAUUUGUAGUGUAUAGUGAUGCCUCUUACGUUAGUCUUGGGUGUGUACUAAUGCAAAAUGGGCGGGUCAUUGCUUAUGCCUCGCGCCAAUUAAAGAGUUAUGAGAAAAACUACCCGGUUCACAACCUUGAGUUAGCCGCGGUGAUCUUCGCGUUGAAGCUUUGGAGGCAUUACUUGUAUGGUGAGCAUUGUGAGAUCUACACUGAUCAUAAAAGUCUAAAGUACUUGUUCACCCAGAAAGAGUUCAAUAUGCGACAGCGGCGGUGGUUAGAGUUGUUGAAGGACUACGAUGUCACUAUACUGUACCACCCCGGGAAAGCCAAUGUUGUAGCCGAUGCGUUGAGUAGAAAGUCGGCGGAUAAUUUAGCGACGGCAAUCACGCCUCAACCGCUAUUGCACAAGGAAAUGCAACGUCUUGGGUUGGAAGUAGUAGCGCUGGGAGUGCCGGCCGUUCUUACUGCAUUGAUCGUGCAACGGACCCUGUUCGAGAGGAUUAAAGAACUUUAAGCUUCGGAUCCUUAUCUCCAAAAGGUUCGAAGUGAAGUUAAAAAUGGCAAUGCCGAAGACUUUGGUGUUGGAGCCGAGGGCGCACUUCGAUUUAGAAAUCGAUGGUGUGUGCCUAAGGAUGAUGAGUUGAGAAGGGCGAUUAUGCAAGAGGCGCACCAAUCCCCUUAUAGCAUACACCCAAGUGGCACUAAAAUGUAUAAGGACUUGAGAGAGCACUAUUGGUGGCCGGGUAUGAAAAGAGAUAUUGGGGAGUUCGUGGCGCAGUGUCUAACGUGCCAACAAGUUAAAGCAGAGCGCUGAUUUUCGGCGGAAAAGCUACAAAGUCUAUCAAUACCCGUUUGGAAAUAGGAAGAUAUAGCGAUGGACUUUAUUACUCGUUUGCCUUGGUCUCAAGGCGGACACGAUGCGAUAUGGGUGAUAGUGGAUCGAUUGACAAAGUCGGCACACUUUUUGCCGAUACACACUACGUGGUCGGGAGACAAGCUAGCGCAAGUUUAUCUCGACGAGACUGUGAGACUUUAUGGGGUUCCAGUGUCGAUUGUGUCAAAUCGAGACCACAGGUUCACAUCUCAUUUCUGGAAGAGUUUGCAAGAUGCGUUGGGCACACGGCUCGACUUCAGUACAGCGUUCCAUCCUCAGACUGACGGACAGUCGGAGCGGACGAUACAGAUCCUUGAGGAUUUACUUCGAGCGUGUGUACUCGAUUAUAAAGGCGGUUGGAAUGAUUUCUUGCCGAUGGCGGAGUUUGCGUAUAAUAACAGUUACCAAGAAAGUAUCGCGAUGGCUCCGUUUGAAGCCUUGUAUGGACGCAAGUGUCUUUCUCCUAUCCAUUGGAGCGACGUGGGCGAGAGAGCGGCCCUUGGCCCAGAUGUGGUACGGGAGACGGAAAAAAAGGUUCGUCUUGCUCGUCAACGAUUAGCGGCGGCGCAAUCUCGGCAAAAGAGCUAUGCCGACAAGCGAAGAAAGGAUUUAGAGUUUGCGGUUGGAGACCGUGUGUUUUUUAGAGUGUCGCCGAUGCGAGAAGUAAAGCAGUUUGGGGUCCGCGGGAAACUAAGUCCCCGUUAUGUCGGACCAUUUGAGAUAUUGGAGCGUGUGGGUGCGGUAGCGUACAAGCUCGCACUACCACCAAGACUCGCGGGAGUUCACAAUGUAUUCCAUGUGUCAAACCUUCAGAAGUAUAUUCGCAACUCGACACAUGUGUUAGAAUAUGAGCCCGUGGAGUUACGCGAAGAUAUUUCUUAUGAGCAGUACCCCGUAUGCAUACUCGAUCGAGAGGAACGAAGGCUGCGGAGUCGCAGAAUUCCUUAUGUGAAAGUCCAAUAGAGCAACCAUGCGGUGCGAGAAGCCACUUGGGAGCUCGAGGAAACGAUACGGCGGGAUUAUCCGCAUUUAUUCGAGUCAACGAGUUAAGGUAUGGUUAAUUUCGAGGACAAAAUUAUUUUAAGGGGUGGAGAAUGUAAUAUACCGAAAAGCUUCGGCAAAUAAAUAUCGAACUUUAGUCAAAUUGACCAAAGUGCGAGGAUGGUACACUUCGAAAAGUUCGGAGGUGUUAAAAUGAGUAAAAGUGUGUUAUGGAAGGUUUUCGAGAGCUAAGAGGUCAAAAUUCUGCAAACUGCAGAAUUUUAGCUCUCGGGGACCGGUCCCUGGUGGGAGAGACCGGUCCCCGAACGCGUGAGAAAUGAGACAGCCAAAAAUUUGGCUAAGUCCCAGAGAAGUAGCUCUUGGGAACCGGUCCCUGCCUGAGAGACCGGUCCCCCGGAGAUCGGUUCCCUCAAAGAGAGACCGGUCGCACUGCGCGCGGCAGCUCUGGCUGCGCUGGGAUGAGCUUCGGGAACCGGUCCCUGGUCGGGAGGAUCGGUCCCCGCAUGCGAAAUCUGCCCAGUCCAGGCAGUUGAAUAAGAUGAAAGUUGAGGGGUUGGGCUACAAUUUUGCAACCCAUAGAGAUAUGUAUGAGGGGUAUUGAGGUAUUUCUCUCAUUCUCACCCUCUCAUCCCCUCUCAUCUCUCUUUCUCUCUCAAGAAGGAAAAGAAGGAGAAGAAGAAGACAAAGGAAAAGAAAGAAAGGAAGGAGAAGAAGAAGGUAGAGAACAAGAAGAAGAGUUGAAGCAACUCUCUCCUCUCCUCCUCUAGCUUGGAAAAGGAAAACUUACAAGGUAAGCUUUGAACCCUAAUCGUGGUAGAACCCAAACUAGGGUUUGGAUUAGGUUAGAAAUGGUUUUUAUGGAACCUCUUGAGUAUUUGAAGCUUUCUUUUUGCUUUUUUAGAGAUCAAAACCAUGGUUUGGUCUAGGGGUGAGGCUUGAAGGUGAGCUCCACCUCCUCUCAUGGUGGAACCCUAAGUAGGGUUUUAAUAAGGCUAAGAAUGAUUUAGAUGGACUCUUUAGAGUAUAAUGAGGCUACUUUUGCUUCCCAAUGAGAUCAAACCCUAGGUUUGAUGAUGCUAUGGAGCUAGGGCACCCUAAUUGGGGCUUUUGCUCACGAGGGUUCUAAAGUGAAAUUGACCCUCUAGAAACCUAAUUGGGGGUAUUUCCGACACGUUGGUGCGCUCGAAAAAACGUUACGAAAAGCCAAUAUGAAGAUAUGGGCAAAAUGACCUAAUUUGGCUUCGUUUUGCCGCAGGAGAAGAACGAGAGUCUAAAAAUCCCAAGAAAAUCAUCGGAGCACCUAACUAAACCUACGAGGUGGGCGGUGCUAUCCAAACUCAUUGAACUUCCUUUUAUGCCUAAUGUGUCAUUCAAUUGAGCAUAUAUUACAUACAUUGUUGCAUGCAUUUAGGGUAAAGUAAUGAAAAGAAUGUGAUGUGGCAUGAUUGUGAGUACAUCUUGCUUAAUGAUGGUUGAGAACCUAUAUAAAUGUGAAACCCUAUAUGUAUGCAUGAGAGGAAAUAUGAGCACCCAAGUGAGGCAAAAGAACAGAGUGACACACUAUGACAUAGAUCGAGUGGCAUUUGAUAAUGUAAAGUAAAGAGCACUAUAGUUAGUGUGGGGCAGAGAAUCAAUGUGAUGUAAAGAUAAUGACAAUGGCUAAAGUUAAUACGAAGUGUGGCAUCAAGAAUAAAGAAUGAAAGAAUAAUGCAAAGUGGGGCAAAAAGAACAUGUAAAGAGCAAAGAACAAUGAUUGCUAGAGUUAGCAACAUAAAGUGAUGUAAAGGACACUAGAGUUAGUGUAAUGACCUGAUUGAACUUAUAAUCCUUAGAGUUAAGGAUUCGAUCAUACUUGCUAUGAGUUCCGUGCUUGAGGGCGGUCGCACCCCCUCAAGCGAUGCGCUCCGGAGUUUUUGCAUCACGGGUUGGAGUAAACACGAGGACGGUCCUAGCGGGUGAGUUCCUGCGAUGAUGGACUUAAUGUGAAGCAAGUUUAAUUAGGCGAAACCCCUGGGUUAGCCGUGCGAUUAAAGAACAAAGAACAAAGAACAAAGAACAAAGAACAAAGAAUAAAGAGUAAAGAACAAAGCCCUUGCAUAAUCUGCAUAAUUAUGUUGAGCAUAUUCCUUGCUUUAUUGUUCAGGCAUAUUAGCAUCAUGUUGUAGAUUGGUUACUAUAUUUCAGCUUAUCCUUUCUAUUAUGCCUGAGUUAGUCCUAGUGGAAAAGUCGGUGAUGUUGGGGCCGAACCCACUGGAAACUUUGUUGUAGUUCUCACCCCACUAUUUCCACAUAGCCGGGACCGAGUGAGCCGGCGAGCGACCGAGAUAAAGGUAUCACGCCUUAGACAGAGGCCACCAGAGUUGAGCUUGGUUUACACUUUGUUAGUAGAAUACCCUAUGUUCAUCUUUUAUAUUUGAUGACUAGUGAUGUAAAAAAAAGAAUGUAAAGCUUAUUGUGAGGUAAAUGUGAUGUAAAAAGAAAUGAUGCAAGUGAUGUAAUGUAAUGAAAGGCAAAGAAUCAUGAAUGUAAAGGGAUACAUGUAUGUGAUCAAAGUGAAUCAUAUUACUUGUUUAGAUGUUUAGUUCCUUUCUCUCACUCAUGGCUACCGCUUACCCUCAUGUAAGCCGUGUUUGUAUGUUUCCGCUAGUGCACUUCUUAUGUGAAAAUGUACAUGUGAUGAGCCUUGGGCGGAUAGGGAAAAACUCUGUCCGUUCGGCGUCUGUUGACGUGCUCGCACCGGCCCCAAAUUGGUAUCGGACGCGGGGCGUGACAUAGAAGCUCUCGAACAAGAAGGAGCUUGCUAGAACUUGGGCCAAGGUAUGUUUUUAGCAAAGAUGAGUCUAGGGUUUGGGUUUAGGCCUUGGAUUUUUGGGUUUUGAUCUCUCUACAAGUGAGGAAAUCCUCUAGAGACCUUGAAACCAUGAAAUCCAUGGUUGUCUUGGACUCCUCUCAUAGUGAACAUCUAGGGUUCAUCUUGGAUGCCCUAGAAAUGGUUUGGGAAGGUUCUAACUUAGUUCCUAAUGCGUCAACAAGCUUUCUUUUGCUUGUACAAAAGAUCAAAACCUAGGAUUUAAUAGAUGCUAUACUAGGGCAUCCCAAAGAGGGUUUUUGCCCAAGUUGAGUUUUGAUCUAUUUUAAUCAUGUAGAAACCUAAUUGAGGGUAUUUUAAAUGCGUUGGAAUGCUCGGUUCGACAAUCCGACGAGUGUACGCAAAGUUAUUGACAAAAACGUCAUUUUUCGUACAGAUAGCCGCAGCACGCGGACUAGGACUUCAAAAAUUUCAAAAAAUUCACCGUAGCAUCCUCUCAACCCUCUAAGGUGGGUGGUGCAUUCCAAGGACUUCGAAAAUCCCUUUAUGUCUAAAGCAUCAUGUUUGAACAUAUAUGUAUAUAUUGAGCAUAUUGCAUAGUAGGGUUAAUUGUGAGCUUUAUUGCAUGAUUGUGAAAUUAACUUCGUAUGAAAUACUUGUGAGAAUGUGAGAAUUGUCAACCUAUGUAUGCAUGACAAGUAACAAGAACCUGGAAGGGUUAGUGAACAAACGUGACACAUGGACAUAGAUCUAAUGAGUGGCAUUGAUGAGUCUAGAACACUUAGAAAAUAAGUGUGGCAUUUGGCAUGAGAACAAGAAUAUAGCACUUAGAAAACAAGUGUGGCAUGAGUAUAAGAACUUAGUAGUGUAUAUGACACUAGUGCUAGAAGAGAAUGCAAGAAAAGAAUGAUUGAGACAUUAUGACAUUUCAACCUUUGAGUUAAGGGUCAUUUGAACAUGGUCUUCCUUAAAGUUAAGGAACGGAUUGAACUUGGAAUUCUCAAUGUAGGAUUGAUCGUACUCACCUUUUAGUCCUUGCUCGAGGGUGGUAGCUCCCCCUCGGGCGAUGUGCUCCGGAGUCGAUAUUACUGGGUCGUAGCGGGUAUCUCCCCAGAGGACGGUCCUAUCGGGUUGUAGCGGAUAUCUCCCCGGUUAAAUAGGAUUUUGGGUUGGUGAGUUUGUUGAGGGCGAAACCUACGGGUUAACCAAGAGAUUGGGUAAAGAAAUUGUAAUCUUGCAUUCAUCAUGAAUAUUAUAUCGAGCAUCGCAUUUUAUAUUGUUCAGGCAUAUUAGUUGCAUUUGUUAGUUUGUUACUUUCUUUCUUCGAUUCUAUUAUGCCUGAUUAGACCUAGUGGGAUAGUCGGCGUUGUUGUUUACCGAACCCACUGAGAACUUUGUUGUAGUUCUCACACCCCUAUUUCCACAGAGCUAGGACCGAGCGAGCCGGCAGACGACCGCGGUACGGGCAUCGCGCCCUAGGUAGAGACCGCCCGAGAUGUUCAAUUUCAUAGAUGCACCCUUUGAUAUAUCAUCUUUUGUAUUUGAUGAUUUUAGUAUCAUGAACAUGUUUAAAUGAAUGAUGUAAAGGAUAUUUACUUAAAUGUCAAAAAUUGUAUUUUGGAGAUAUAAGAUGUAAAAAAAAAUGAUGCAAAUUGUAAUUAAUUUCCUAAGUGUAGUCAUUUACUUUCACUAUUGGUUGUAAUUAAUUUUCUAAGUGUAGUCAUUUACUUUCACUAUUGGCUAUUGCUUGCCCACGCGCAAGCCAUUGUGUAUGCUUCCGCUUAUGCAAACCUUAUACUCUAUUGAUACUUGUUGUUGAGCCUUGGGCGGACAGGGGAGGCUCUGUCCGUUCAACGUCUGUUCGACGCUCUCGAACCGGCCAAAAGGAUCGGGCUCGGGGCGUGACAGAUAAGAUAGUAUCAGAGCGUAAAAGAGCCAAAAGUGAAAGUAUAGGAUGGACCUAGAGACCCUUAGGAAUGGAAGACCUUAAGGAUCUAGGAAACGUGAGUGACGUUGAAUAAGUUAUAGCGAAGGCAUGGAUUGGGUCGACGUAAUUAUGUCUCUAAUGCGGUUAGGGACUAAACUUAAGUUGUCAUUUGUUUUCUUUUCCUUGUGUUGUGAUCGGCGGCCGACGACAUGACGCUUUGGAACGAAAAUGAAUACACUUAUAUGCUUUCGCCGGAUUGGGUAUAAUUGAGUAUGUUGUCUAAGUAACUAAUGUGUGUUGCUUCGUUUCAGGAAGCAAUGCCGCCUCGUGGACGACCUAAGUUGCCUCGUGGUCGACUGUGGACGAGGUCUAUGGCCGAGGAGUCAAGUACGGCUCCCGUGCAACCCGGAGCAAGUGGCGACGGGGAGUUUCGGGAGCAGAUGGCCGCGCUUAUUGGCGUAGUGCGGCAGCAGGCGGAAUCCGUUCAGCGCCAGGCAGAAUCCGUUCAGCGCCAAGGGGAGCAAACCCAAAGGCUCCAGGAGGCCUUGGAGCGACAGCAGGCGGCGGCGGCGCCCGUGGAGGCCGUGCACCCUGCGCCCCCUGCAGUGGUACCAAGUGCGGCCGAGGGUGUGGCCGCGGCGGCCAUGCCAGUUAUGAUGGUGCCGGCUGGAUCAGGAACCUCAAAUCCCGAUAGUGCGGCGGAGGAGGCGGAGCGGGAACGCGCGUUGGCGGCUCUCAUUCAGUUUCAGAAGUUCAACCCACCUACCUUCGAAGGGGGAGUGGUGGAACCGGCGGUGGUGGAGUCCUGGAUCGACUCCAUGGAAACACUUUCGAGGAUCUUAAUACCUUGGAGAAGGACAAGGCGUACCUCGCCACACAUUGCCUUUAGAAGGCGGCGAAAGUGUGGUAGAAGCGUGUUAGGCGGGACCGAUCACCCGACCUUCCACCUAUGUUGUAGGAGGAGUUUCGGAGGGCGGUGUUCGCCAACUACUUCCCCGACACGGUGAAGUGGAAGUUGCAAGAGAAAUUCCAUAAGUUGAGGCAAGGAGAUCGCUCGGUGGCUGACUAUGAGCAGGAGUUCUCCCACCUCAUUGACUGCGUCCCGGAUGUUGUUAGGGAUGACCGGGACCGAGCAGACGGGUUCCUACGAGGAUUGCGGCCGGGGAUUCAUAGGGUCGUGCAAAUCCUUAAGCUCACGACCUUUGCGGAGGUCUUUGAUCGGGCGUUGUGGGCGGAGCAUGGCUAUGCCCACGAAUGCGAGGAGCGCGAAUCCGCAGCUGAGGCCAAGGAGAAGAGCAAGAAGCGGACAGCGGGUAGCACCGGGGGCCGACCAAACGCUAAGAAACCCCCUCGGUAUCCCCGACAGCAGUCGAGGGGUUGGAGGCCAUCUCGUUGUGUUAUUUGCGGCGGCAACCAUCAACCGCCUUCAUGCCCGCAGCGGGAUAGGAAAUGCUUCAAGUAUGGCCAACCUGGGCAUUUGUCGCGAGAGUGCCCUAGCUGGGGUUCAUCUGCACCGACCUCGGCAUCAGUUCCUUAUACCCCGAGAUAGCAGGCGGGGUUACCACCGGCUAUGUCAGCUGGACGCUCGUCUUCAUCGCGCCAACCGGAGGCAUUGAGAGCACCGAGUGGGCAAAUUUUUGCCACUCAGGUGGAGGAGGAGCCGAUUCCUGUCCCCGACGACAUUGUGGCAGGUAUUAUCUCGAUCAGAGGCACUAGAGCUAGAGCUUUAUUCGACACUAGUGCAUCGCAUUCAUUCAUAGAUGCAUCAUUCGCUAGGAUUCAUGGCAGUAAGAUUGUGCAUCAUUAUGACUAUUGAACGGUGAAUUCAGUCGAGCAUACUUUUUAUGUUCACGAAGAGUGUGUAGCGUGCCUAGUGCAGAUAGGCGAUUGGGUCAUGCCGAUCGACCUGUUAGUGUUGAAUCAAAUGUGGGGUUUCGACGUGAUCUUGGGGACCAACUAGCUCUCCAAGUAUUAUGCUGUGAUAGAUUGCGAAAGUAAGGUGAUCACGUUUCGUGAGCCUAAUCGAGAGGAGCUAGUGUAUCGGGCAGCUAAAAGCUCGCUCUUCGCGGCGACCGUGUCGGCGGCACGGGCGAGGAAAAUGAUAAGAGGUGGUUGUGAAACCUAUUUGGCCACCGUGGUAGAAGCCCCGAAGGAGCGCCCAGAACUUAGCAGUAUUCGGGUGGCGUGUGAAUUCCCGGAUGUAUUUCCGGCGGAGUUACCGGGUUUGCCACCGGACCGGGAGAUCGAGUUCGUUAUUGACUUGGUACCCAGGGCGGCUCCAAUUUCGAAGGCUCCGUAUAGAAUGGCACCGGCGGAGCUAAAGGAACUUAAGGCACAAUUGCAAGAUCUGCUCAACAAAGGCUUUGUGAGGCCGAGCGCGUCACCCUGGGGAGCUCCGGUGCUGUUCGUUAAGAAGAAGGACGGCACACUUCAAGAGUUGAACAAGGUCACCGUGAAGAAUAAGUACCCGUUGCCGAGGAUUGACGAUUUAUUCGAUCAGCUGCAAGGGUCGAGGGUGUAUUCAAAAAUAGACCUACAGUCGGGGUAUCAUCAGUUGAAGAUACGGCCCNCCGAGGAUGUGCACAAGACGGCGUACCGUACGCGGUAUGGCCAUUAUGAGUUUACGGUGAUGUCGUUUGGGUUUACUAACGCUCCGACGGCGUUCAUGGACUUGAUGAAUAGAGUCUUUCGUCCGCUAUUGGACCGAUGCGUCGUGGUAUUCAUUGACGACGUAUUGAUAUAUUCUUGGACCGAGGAAGAACACGAGGAGCACCUAAGGACCGUGUUGGAAAUACUCCGAAAAGAGAAGUUAUAUGCCAAGUUGAAGAAAUGCGACUUUUGGCUAUCGGAGGUUACUUUUCUUGGUCAUGUAAUUUCGGGCGAUGGUAUCUCGGUGAACCCAAAGAAAGUUGAGGCAAUUAGAGAUUGGCCUCGCCCGACGAGCGUAUCGGAGGUCCGCAGUUUCCUUGGACUAGCGGGCUAUUACCGGCGGUUCGUGGAGGGGUUUGCUAAAAUAACUACUCCACUAACGCGCCUUACACACAAAGGGGUGAAGUAUGUUUGGAGCCCCGAAUGCGAGCGGAGCUUCGAGGAAUUGAAAGAAAGAUUGAACACGACCCCAGUGCUUGCUCUACCGACGCCGGGGGAAACAUUUGUGGUAUAUAGUGAUGCUUCCUAUGUUGGACUCGGGUGUGUCUUGAUGCAAAACGGCCGAGUUAUAGCAUAUGCUUUGCGCCAAUUGAAGAGGUAUGAGAAAAACUAUCCGAUCCACGACCUGGAGUUAGCGGCGGUCAUUUUCGCGCUAAAAUUAUGAAGGCAUUACCUAUACGGGGAACAUUGUGCGAUCUACAUGGAUCACAAAAGCCUUAAAUACCUGUUCACCCAAAAGGAGCUAAAUAUGCGGCAACGGCGAUGGUUAGAGUUGUUGAAAGAUUAUGACGUCGCUAUUCUAUACCACCCCGGGAAAGCAAAUGUGGUGGCCGAUGCACUUAGUAGAAAGUCGGGAAAAAAUUUGGCUUCGGCAAUUACACCACAACCGUUAUUGCAAAAGGAGAUGCAACGGCUUGGCUUGGAAGUAGUGGAGCCAGGAGUGCCAGCUACACUUGCCGCGAUAGUGAUACAACCGACCUUGAUGGAGAGGAUAAAAGAGCUGCAAGCUUCCGAUAAGUAUCUCCAAAAGGUGCACGGUGAAGUUGAUAGCGGUAGUGCCGAUGAUUUUGGCAUCGGGACCAACAGCGCACUCCGGUUUAGAAACCGUUGGUGUGUGCCUAAGAACAAGGACAUCAGUAGGGCGAUUAUACAAGAAACGCAUCAAUCUCCUUAUAGUAUACACCCGGACGGCACCAAAAUGUACCAAGAUUUGAAAUUGCACUAUUGGUGGCCAGGCAUGAAGAAAGACAUUGGGGAGUUUGUUGUGCAAUAUCUUACUUGCCAACAAGUAAAAACGAAGCGGCAAUUUCCGGCGGGAAAGUUGCAAGGUUUACCUAUACCCGUUUGGAAAUGGGAGAAUAUCGCAAUGGACUUCGUGACCUGGUUGCCUCGAUCUCAGGGUGGACACGAUGCAAUUUGGGUGAUAGUAGACUGAGACGAAGUCGGCACAUUUUCUACCGGUUCAUAUUACUUGGUCGGGGGACAAGUUGGCUCAGCUAUAUAUUGACGAGGUUGUGAGACUUCACGGGGUACCGGUGUCUAUUGUAUCAGAUCGGGACCCGAGGUUCACAUCUCAUUUUUGGAAGAGCCUACAGGAGGCCUUAGGCACAUGGCUCGACUUUAGCAUGACAUUUUAUCCUCAAAGUGAUGGUGAAUCGGAGAGGACGAUACAGAUACUUAAGGAUAUGCUCCGAGGUGUGUAUUGGACUACAAGGGCAGUUGGCACAAUCAUCUACCGAUGGCAGAGUUCGCGUACAAUAAUAGUUAUCAAGAAAGUAUCUCGAUGGCGCCAUUCGAGGCCCUUUAUGGAAAGAAAUGUCGCUCUCCAAUCUAUUGGAGCGAUGUGGGCGAGAGAGCUACUCUUGGCCCGGAUGUAGUGCGGGAAGCGAAGGAGAAGGUUCGCCUUGCCCGCCAAAGACUCGCUACGGCGCAAUCCCGGCAAAAGAGCUAUGCCAACAAACGGAGAAAAGACAUAGAGUUUACAGUUGGCGACCAUGUCUUUUUAAAAGUGUCGCCGAUGCGAGGAAUUAGACGGUUUGGGCUCCGGGGGAAGCUAAGUCCCCGGUACCUCGGACCGUUUGAGGUAUUGGAGCGGGUGGGCGCGGUGGCGUACAAGCUAGCAUUACCACCGAGGCUUGCGGGAGUACACGACGUGUUCCAUGUAUUGAAUCUUUGCAAGUACGUUCGUGACCCCGAGCAUGUUCUCUCGUUUGAACCGUCCGAGAUCCAAGAGGAUAUGACCUAUGAGGAGUUCCCGGCAUACAUCAUCGAUCGAGAACUAAGAAAGAUACGAAAUCGCGAGAUUCCGUAUGUUAAGAUUCGUUGGUGCAAUCACGAUGAUCGGAAAGCUACUUGGGAGCUCGAGAGCACAAUGCGGGAGCACUAUCCUCACCUCUCUAACGAGCCGAAUUGAGGUAUGAGUUUAAGUCUCAAUUAAGUAAGUUUCGCGGACGAAACUAAAUUUAAGGGGUGGAGAAUGUAACAUACCGAAAUCUCGGUAAUUAAAUUCGAACCUUGGUCAAAUCGACCAAAGUGCGAGAUUGGUACACUUCGGUGAGGCCGAAGGCGUCGAAUAAUGCAAAAGUGCGUGUCUGGGGACCUUCGAGAGCUUUGGAAAUUAAAAUCUGCAAACUGCAGGUUUUGUGCUCUCAGGGACCGGUCCCUGGUGGGAGAGACCGGUCCCCGAACGCGUAGGCAGCGAGAUGGCCGAGAAAUCGGCUAAGUCCUGGAAAAUCAGCUCUCAGGAAUCAGUCUCUGCGAGGAGAGACCGGUCCCCCAGAGACCAGUCCCAUUGGGGGAGAUCGGUUGCAUCGUGCGCAGCCUGCGCAGACCACGGGAGAAGCUCUCAAGGACCGGUCCCAGGUCGAGGAGACCGGUCCUUCACUGCGAAAAAUGCCCAGUUUGGGCAGUGCACAGAGAAAGAGUUGAGGGGCCUUGUUAUAAUUAUUACAACACAUUAUAUACCCAUCCCCUCUCCCCUUUUCACAGCACACACACACUCCUCUCUCUCCCUCUCAUUUUCUCUCAUUUCUCUCUCUAGAAAGCUAGCCCUAGAGCUUGGAGAAGGUGGAAAAGAGCUUGGAGAAGUGGAUUUUGGUGGCUUUGGUGGUCCUAGAAGCUCUCCAACAAGAAGGAGCUUGUUAGAACUUGGGCCAAGGUAAGUUUUUAGCAAAGAUGAGUCUAGGGUUUGGGUUUAGGCCUUGGAUUUUUGGGUUUUGAUCUCUCUACAAGUGAGGAAAUCCUCUAGAGACCUUGAAACCAUGAAAUCCAUGGUUGUCUUGGACUCCUCUCAUGGUGAACUUCUAGGGUUCACCUUGGAUGCCCUAGAAAUGGUUUGGGAAGGUUCUAACUUAGUUCCUAAUGCUUCAACAAGCUUUCUUUUACUUGUACAAAAGAUCAAAACCUAGGAUUUAAUAGAUGCUAUACUAGGGCAUCCCAAAGAGGGGUUUUGCCCAAGUUGAGUUUUGAUCUAUUUUGAUCAUGUAGAAACCUAAUUGAGGAUAUUUUAAACGUGUUGGAACGCUCGAUUCGAUAAUCCGGUGAGUGUACGCAAAGUUAUUUACAAAAACGUCAUUUUCCAUACAGAUAACCGCAGUACGCGGACUAGGGCUUCAAAAAUUUUAAGAAAUUCACCGUAGCAUCCUCUCAACCUUCUAAGGUGGGUGGUGCAUUCCAAGGACCUCGAAAAUCUCUUUAUGUUUAAAGCGUCAUGUUUGAACAGCAUAUUGCAUAGUAGGGUUAAUUGUGAGCUUUAUUGCAUGAUUGUGAAAUUAACUUCGUAUGAAAUACUUGUGAGAAUGUGAGAAUUGUCAACCUAUGUAUGCAUGACAAGUGACAAGAACCUGGAAGGGUUAGUGAACAAACGUGACACAUGGACAUAGAUCUAAUGAGUGGCAUUGAUGAGUCUAGAACACUUAGAAAACAAGUGUGGCAUUUGGCAUGAGAACAAGAAUAUAGCACUUAGAAAACAAGUGUGGCAUGAGUAUAAGAACUUAGUAGUGUAUAUGACACUAGUGCUAGAAGAGAAUGCAAGAAAAGAAUGAUUGAGACAUUACGACAUUUCAACCUUAGAGUUAAGGGUCAUUUGAACAUGGUCUUCCUUAAAGUUAAGAAACGGAUUGAACUUGGAAUUCUCAAUGUAGGAUUGAUCGUACUCACCUUUUAGUCCUUGCUCGAGGGUGGUAGCUCUCCCUCGGGCGAUGUGCUCCGGAGUCGACAUCACUGGGUCGUAGCGAGUAUCUCCCCAGAGGACGGUCCCAUCGGGUUGUAGCGGGUAUCUCCCCGGUUAAAUAGGAUUUUGGGUUGGUGAGUUUGUUAAGGGCGAAACCUACGGGUUAGCCAAGAGAUUGGAUAAAGAAAUUGUAAUCUUGCAUUCAUCAUGAAUAUUAUAUCGAGCAUCGCAUUUUAUAUUAUUCAGGCAUAUUAGUUGCAUUUGUUAGUUGGUUACUUUCUUUCUUCUAUUCUAUUAUGCCUGAUUAGACCUAGUGGGAUAGUCGACGUGGUUGUUUGCCGAACCCACUGGGAACUUUGUUGUAGUUCUCACACUCCUAUUUCCACAGAGCCGGGACCGAGCGAGCCGGCAGACGACCGCGGUAAGGUCAUCGCGCCCUAGGUAGAGACCGCCCGAGAUGUUCAAUUUCAUAGAUGCAUACCCUUUGAUAUAUCAUCUUUUGUAUUUGAUGAUUUUAGUAUCAUGAACAUGUUUAAAUGAAUGAUGUAAAGGAUAUUUACUUAAAUGUCAAAAGUUGUAUUUUGGAGAUAUGAGAUGUAAAAAAAAUGAUGCAAAUUGUAAUUAAUAUCCUAAGUGUAGUCAUUUACUUUCACUAUUGGCUAUUGCUUGCCCAUGCGUAAGCCAUUGUGUAUGCUUCCGCUUAUGCAAACCUUAUACUCUAUUGAUACUUGUUGUCGAGCCUUGCGCGGACAGAGGAGGCUCUGUCCGUUCGGCGUCUGUUCGACGCUCUCGAACCGGCCAAAAGGAUCAGGCUCGGGGCGUGACAAUUUUGGUACAGAUAGCCGCAGCACGCGGAAUAAGCGUCCAAAAAUCACGAAAAUGGAUCCGAAGCAUCUUGGUAUCAAGAUAAGUAUUGAACAAUUUUCGGAUUUCAGAUUGGUGGCCGUUCGGGUGGUCGCGCGAGAGUUCGGGCUGAACCGGGUCACGGGUGCCGCCGGAGGCCGAUUGCAAGUGACUGCUAGCAAUCGGAGUGCGAAUUGAGGUGGGUUGUGUUUACCGAAGCGACUACGUCGCCUGUAUGUUUAAGAUGAGUAUUUAUCAUUGAUGCAUAUAGUGGUAGCUAAUGAUAGAGUAUGUGAAUGCAUGAAAUGAAUGCUAAAUGGGCUACCAAUGAAUGCACGAUGACAUGGAAUAAAAAUGCUAGAUAAAUGCAUAGGUUAUGCUAGCUGAAUGCAUGAUGCAUGUUAUAAGAAUGCUAAGUGAAAACAUAUUGAUAUGAAAUAAGAAUGCUCAAGUAUACAUGAUAUUAAUGCUAAGUCCAUGUAUAAUAAGCAUGUUAUAGGAAUGCUAAUGUGGAAUGCUAAGUAAAGGACAUAUGUAUACAUAUAUAGAUCUAGUGGCACCGAACCUAGUGUUGAGGACAUAGGUUGAACAAGAGUAAUAUUGAACCUAGUGUUAAUAAAUAUAGGUUGAACAAGUGUGGCAUGUAAACCUAGUGUAAAGAACAUAGGUUGAACAAGUGUGGCAUGUAAACCUAGUGUAAAGAACAUAGGUUGAACAAGUGUGGCAUAGAACCUAGUGUUAUUGAACAUAGGUUGGGUAUGAACCUAGUGUCAUGGACCUAGGAUGGAUAAGAAUGAAUAUAAAUCUAGUGUUAAAGAACAUAGGUUGCAGGAUAAACCUAGAGUUAUAGUAAACCUAGGUUACGUGGUAAAAGCACUAAGCCUAGAGUCAAGUGGACCUAGGGUGGAAAGGACAUUGGACCUAGAUAGGUCGAUGCUAUAGGGUUAAGACCAACCCUCGAGUUAUGUGAAAUGGAUUUUCGGAAUCCCUGAGCUUUUGGAACACCCAAAGUGGUGUUGGGCGUGUGCGACGAUUUCGUCGUCCGGGGUUAACCAUCGUCGUGGCGUAUGUGCGACGAUUUCGCUGCCGGAUGGUUAUGCCGAGUUGUGGAUUAUACCGCCGCUUGACUUUAGCCAUUGUCGUGGCGUAUGUGCGACGAUUUCGCCGCCGGGUGGCUCAGUCAUAGAGUGUGGCAGGUUGUGGUAGGCUGAGGUGCAUGUGAGAGUUCCUUCACCUCGAGCCGACAAAGCGCCGAUUAUCCGCAGUUGAUUGACUCAAGACCGAGUCGAGUGGCAUAGUGGACUAAGGUAAGAGUAACCUUAGAAAAGAAUGGCCGAUGAGUAAGUUAUAGCUAAAGAAUAAAGAAUAACUAAGAAUAAAAAAAGAGUUGCAAGUAGUAAAGAAUGGCUAGCAAUAAAGAAUGAAAACGAUAGAAAGUAAAAUUAUUUAUUCUACUUGCAUAGUUGUAUGGUUUCAUAUUGCAUAUCGCGAGGCAUGACAUGUAGUUCAAUAUCGAGUAAAUGUAUAAAUAUCUGUUUUAUGUUAUUGGACUAACCUGUUGUAGUGCCUCAUUAGACCUAUUGGUUGAGCUUUUUCCUUGGGUGGCUGUACCCACUGGGAACCAUGGAGUUGGUUCUCACACCACGUUGUUUUGGAGUGUUACAGGUACAGACGUGAGCGGCGCGGCGGCGCGAGGCAAGGGUGUAGCUCCGUAGAUAGCGCCCUACCCCAGAGACCAGAGGUAGUAGUACCCGAGUUGGUGGUCUAGCUUGGGGGGUUUAAAGACAAAAAACAAACUUUUAUUAAGUUGUAUCAAAAUUGUAUCAAUCGUGAUUGUAUUUGGAAGUUGAAUGUAAAAGAAAAAUUGUGUUGUAAAAUGCAUCUAAGUUGAAUGUUGUAAUAACUUAGUAGUUUAUGUUUUUGAUACUUCCUUAUGCAAUCUAUGGAAGAGUAUUGUUCCUGGUUGGAACCUCUUGUAUUGUAUUGAUUGCGACGCUUUGGACGUACAGGGGAGACUCUGCCCGUUCAGCGGUCUGAUGGCGUGCCCUAAUCUGACCAAAGAGGCGGGCUCGGGGCGUGACAACGGCUUAGGGGAACGGACGCCUCCGUGCUCCUAAUAGCACACAAGACCGACUCUAUAUAGAGUAGGUCUUGUGUGCUAUUAGGAGCACGGCCUUCGUGCUCCUAAGUCGUUUUCGAUGAUAGAGCUUCCGAAUCGACGAUCGGCUCCGUUAGAAUUGAUCUAGCGUAUUUGAACUAUCUAGAAACUAAUUUUUGUGAUUUCUCGAUAUGAUUUUCCUAGCGAUCGAAAGGGUUCAAAAUCAAUAAUUUUUAAUGGUUGAUGUAUGCCGUUUGCAAAUUUAACAGUGUAGAAGUAUUCAAAUCAGAUGAAAUUUUGAUAGAAAAUUCUUUAUACUAUAUACAGCAAGAUCAAUAUGUUUGAUCAAAAAUUUUAAUACUAUAUCACUAUUUUUUGUGAGAUUAUUCUUUUCAGCCGUUGAUUUUGAGCACUUUCGAUCGUUAGGUAAAUGAUAUCGAAAAGUCACAAAAUUUAUUUUCUAGAUAUUUCAAAUAUGCUAGAUCACGCCUAACGGAGCCAAUCAUCGAUAAAGAAAGUCCAUCAUCGAAAACGGCUUAGGGGCACGGACGCCACCGUGCUCCUAAUAGCACACAAGACCGACUCUAUAUAGAGUAGGCCUUGUGUGCUAUUAGGAGCACGGAGGCCUCCGUGCUCCUAAGCCGUUUUCGAUGAUAGAGCUUCCGAAUCAACGAGCGGCACCGUUAGAAUUGAUCUAGCGUAUUCGAACUAUCUAGAACCUAAUUUUUGUGAACUUUCGGUAUCAUUUUCCUAGCGAUCGAAAGGGUUCAAAAUCAAUCAUUUUUAAUGGUUGAUGUAUGCCGUUUGCAAAUUUAACGGUGUAAAAGUAUUCAAAUCAGAUGAAAUUUUGAUAUAAAAUUCUUUAUACUAUAUACAACAAGAUCAAUAUGUUUUAUCAAAAAUUUUAAAGCUAUAUCACUACUUUUUCGGAGAUUUUUAUUUUCAACCGUUGAUUUUGAGCACUUUCGAUCGUUAGGUAAAUGACAUCGAAAAGUCACAAAAUUUAUUUUCUAGAUACUUCAAAUAUGCUAGAUCAAGCCUAAUGGAGCCGAUCGUCGAUUCAGUAGCUCCAUCAUAAAAAACGGCUUAGGAGCAUGGACGCCUCAGUGCUCCUAAUAGCACACCAGACUGACUCUAUAUAGAGUAGGUCUUGUGUGCUAUUAGGAGCACGGAAGCCUCCGUGCUCCUAGGUUGUUUUCGAUGAUGGAGCUUUCGAAUUGACGAUCGGCUCCGUUAGAAUUGAUCUAGCGUAAUUGAACUAUCUAGAAGCUAAUUUUUGUUAUUUUUCGGUAUCAUUUUCCGAGCGAUCGAAAUGAUUCAAAUCAACAAUUUUUAAUGGUUGAUAUAUGCCGUUUGCAAAUUUAACGGUGUAGAAGUAUUCAAAUCAAAUGAAAUUUUGAUAGAAAAUUCGUUAUACUAUAUACAGCAAGAUCAAUAUUUUUGAUCAAAAAUUUUAAUGCAAUGUCACUACUUUUUGUGAGAUUUUUAUUUUCAGCCGUAGAUUUUGAGCACUUUCGAUCGUUAGGUAAAUAAUAUCGAAAAGUCACAAAAAUUUUUUUCUAGAUAUUUCAAAUAUGCUACAUCAAGCCUAACGGAGUCGAUCGUCGAUUCAGAAGCUCCAUCAUCGAAAACUGCUUGGGAGCACGGACGCCUCCGUGCUCCUAAUAGCACACAAGACCGAGCAGGUCUUUUGUGCUAUUAAGAGCAUGGAAGCCUCUGUGCUCCUAAGUCGUUUUCGAUGAUGGAGCUUCCGAUUCGACGAUCGGCUCCGUUAGAAUUGAUCUAGCGUAUUUGAACUAUCUAGAAACUAAUUUUUGUCAUUUUUCGGUAUCAUUUUCCUAGCGAUCGAAAGGAUUCAAAAUCAACAAUUUUUAAUGGUUGAUGUAUGCCGUUUGCAAAUUUAACGAUGUAGAAAGAUUCAAAUAAGAUGAAAUUUUGAUAGAAAAUUCAUUAUACUAUAUACAGCAAGAUCAAUAUGUUUGAUCAAAAAUUUUAAUGCUAUAUCACAACUUUUUGUGAGAUUUUUAUUUUCAGCCGUUGAUUUUGAUCACUUUCGAUCGUUAGGUAAAUGAUAUCGAAAAGUCACAAAAUUUAUUUUCUAGAUAAUUCAAAUAUGCUAGAUCACGCCUAACGGAGCCGAUCGUCGAUUCAGAAAGUCCAUCAUCGAAAACGGCUUAGUGGCAUGGACACCUCCGUGCUCCUAAUAGCACACAAGGCCGACUCUACAUAGAGUAGGUCUUGUGUGCUAUUAGGAGCACGGAGGCAACCGUGCGCCGAAGUCGUUUUUGAUGAUAGAGCUUCCGAAUCGACGAUCGGCUCCGUUAGAAUCGAUCUAGCGUAUUUGAACUAUCUAGACGCUAAUUUUUGUGAUUUUUCGAUAUCAUUUUCCUAGCGAUCGAAAGGUUUCAAAAUCAACAUUUUUUAUUGGUUGAUGCAUGCCGUUUGCAAAUUUAACAGUGUAGAAGUAUUCAAAUCAGAUGAAAUUUUGAUAAAAAAUUCUUUAUACGAUAUGCAGUAAGAUCAAUAUGUUUGGUCAAAAAUUUUAAUGCUAUAUCACUACUUUUUGUGAGACUUUUAUUUUCAGCCGUUGAUUUUGAGCACUUUCGAUCGUUAGGUAAAUGACAUCGAAAAGUCACAAAAUUUAUUUUCUAGAUACUUCAAAUAUGCUAGAUCACACCUAACGGAGCCGAUUGUCGAUUCAGAAAGUCUAUCAUCGAAAACGGCUUAGGGGCACGGUCGCCUCCGUGCUCCUAAUAGCACACAAGACCGACUCUAUAUAGAGUAGGUCUUGUGUGCUAUUAGGAGCACAGAGGUCUCUGUGCUCCUAAGACGUUUUCGAUGAUAGAGCUUCCGAAUCGACGAUCGGCUCCGUCAGAAUUGAUCUAGCGUAUUUGAACUAUCUAGAGCCUAAUUUUUGUGAUUUUUCGGUAUCAUUUUCCUAGCGAUCGAAAGGGUUCAAAAUCAACAAUUUUUAAUGGUUGAUGUAUGCCGUUUGCAAAUUUAACAGAGUAGAAAUAUUUAAAUCAGAGGAAAUUUUGAUAGAAAAUUCUUUGUACUAUAUACAGCAAGAUCAAUAUGUUUGAUCAAAAAUUUUAAUGCUAUAUCACUACUUUUUGUGAGAUUUUUAUUUUCAGUCGUAGAUUUUGUGCACUUUCGAUCGUUAGGUAAAUGAUAUCGAAAAGUCACAAAAUUUAUUUUCUAGAUACUUUAAAUAUGCUUGAUCAAGCCUGACGGAGCCAAUCGUCGAUUCAGAAGCUCCAUCAUCGAAAACGGCUUAGGAGCACGGACGCCUCCGUGCUCCUAAUAGCACACCAAACUGACUCUAUAUAGAGUAGGUCGAGUGUGCUAUUAGGAGCACGGAAGCCUCCGUGCUCCGAAGUCGUUUUCGAUGAUGAAGCUUCCGAAUCAACGAUCGGCUCCGUUAGAAUUUAUCUAGCGUAUUUGAACUAUCUAGACACUAAUUUUUGUUAUUUUUCGGUUUCAUUUUCUGAGCGAUCGAAAUGAUUCAAAACCAACAAUUUUUAAUGGUUGAUAUAUGCCGUUUGCAAAUUUAACGGUAUAUAAGUAUUCAAAUCAGAUGAAAUUUUGAUAGAAAAUUCGUUGUACUAUAUACAGCAAGAUCAAUAUGUUUGAUCAAAAAUUUUAAUGCAAUAUCACUACUUUUUGUGAGAUUUUUAUUUUCACCCGUAGAUUUUGAGCACUUUCGAUCGUUAGGUAAAUGAUAUCGAAAAGUCACAAAAUUUCUUUUCUAAAUUUCAAAUAUGCUACAUCAAGCCUAACGGAGUCGAUCGUCGAUUCAGAAGCUCCAUCAUCGAAAACGGCUUAUGAGCACGGACGCCUCCGUGCUCCUAAUAGCACACCAGACUAACUCUAUAUAGAGUAGGUCUUGUGUGCUAUUAGGAGCAUGGAAGCCUCCGUGCUUCUAAGUCGUUUUCGAUGAUGGAGCUUCUGAAUCGACGAUCGGCUCCGUUAGAAUUGAUCUAGUGUAUUUGAAUUAUCUAGAAACUAAUUUUUGUUAUUUUUCGGUAUCAUUUUCCGAGAGAUCGAACUAAUUCAAAAUCAACAAUUUUUAAUGGUUCAUAUAUGCCGUUUGCAAAUUUAACGGUGUAGAAGUAUUCAAAUCAGAUGAAAUUUUGGUAGAAAAUUCGUUAUACUAUAUACAGCAAGAUCAAUAUGUUUGAUCAAAAAUUUUAAUGUAAUAUCACUACUUUUUGUGAGAUUUUUAUUUUNNNNNNNNNNNNNNNNNNNNNNNNNCGAGUAGGUCUUUUGUGCUAUUAGGAGCACGGUGGCGUCCGUGCUCCUAAGUCGUUUUCGAUGAUGGAGCUUCCGAAUCGACAAUCGGGUCCGUUAGAAUUGAUGUAGCGUAUUUGAACUAUCUAGAAACUAAUUUUUGCUAUUUUUCGGUAUCAUUUUCCUAGCGAUCGAAAGGAUUCAAAAUUAACAAUUUUUAAUGGUUGAUGUAUGCCGUUUGCAAAUUUAACGGUGUAGAAAGAUUCAAAUAAGAUGAAAUUUUGAUCGAAAAUUCUUUAUACUAUAUACAGCAAGAUCAAUAUGUUUGAUAAAAAAUUUUAAUGCUAUAUCACUACUUUUUGUGAGAUUUUUAUUUUCAGCCGUUGAUUUUGAGCACUUUCGAUCGUGAGGUAAAUAAAAUCGAAAAGUCACAAAAUUUAUUUUCUAGAUACUUCAAAUAUGCUAGAUCACGCCUAACGGAGCCGAUCGUCGAUUCAGAAGCUCCAUCAUCGAAAACAGCUUAGGAGCACGGACGCCUCCGUGCUCCUAACAGCACACAAGACCGAGUAGGUCUUUUGUGCUAUUAGGAGCACGGAAACCUCCGUGCUACUAAGUCGUUUUCGAUGAUGGAGCUUCCGAUUCGACGAUCGGCUCCGUUAAAAUUGAUCUAGCGUAUUUGAACUAUCUAGAAACUAAUUUUUGCUAUUUUUCGGUAUUAUUUUCCUAGCGAUCGAAAGGAUUCAUAAUCAACAAUUUUUAAUGGUUGAUGUAUGCCGUUUGCAAAUUUAACGGUUUAGAAAGAUUCAAAUAAGAUGAAAUUUUGAUAAAAAAUUCUUUAUAAAAUAUACAGCAAGAUCAAUAUGUUUGAUCAAAAAUUUUAAUGCUAUAUCACUACUUUUUGUGAGAUUUUUAUUUUCAGCCGUUGAUUUUGAGCACUUUCGAUCGUUAGGUAAAUGAUAUCGAAAAGUCACAAAAUUUAUUUUCUAGAUACUUCAAAUAUGCUAGAUCACGCCUAACGGAGCCGAUCGUCGAUUAAGAAAGUCUAUCAUCGAAAACUGCUUAGGGGCACGGACGCCUCCGUGCUCCUAAUAGCACACAAGACCGACUCUAUAUAGAGUAGGUCUUGUGUGCUAUUAGGAGCACGGCCUCCGUGCUCCUAAGUCGUUUUCGAUGAUAGAGCUUCCGAAUCGACGAUCGGCUCCGUUAGAAUUGAUCUAGCGUAUUUGAACUAUCUAGAAACUAAUUUUUGUGAUUUUUCGAUAUAAUUUUCCUAGCAAUCGAAAGGGUUCAAAAUCAACAAUUUUUAAUGGUUGAUGUAUGCCGUUUGCAAAUUUAACGGUGUAGAAGUAUUCAAAUCAGAUGAAAUUUUGAUAGAAAAUUCUUUAUACUAUAUACAGCAAGAUCAAUAUGUUUGAUCAAAAAUUUUAAUACUAUAUCACUAUUUUUUGUGAGAUUAUUAUUUUCAGUCGUUGAUUUUGAGCACUUUCGAUCGUUAGGUAAAUGAUAUCGAAAAGUCACAAAAUUUAUUUUCUAGAUACUUCAAAUAUGCUAGAUCAAGCCUAAUGGAGACGAUCGUCGAUUCAGAAGCUCCAUCAUCGAAAACGGCUUAGGAGCACGGAUGCCACCGUGCUCCUAAUAGCACACAAGACCGACUCUAUAUAGAGUAGGCCUUGUGUGCUAUUAGGAGCACGGAGGCCUCCGUGCUCCUAAGCCGUUUUCGAUGAUAGAGCUUCCGAAUCAACGAGCGGCACCGUUAGAAUUGAUCUAGCGUAUUCGAACUAUUUAGAACCUAAUUUUUGUGAACUUUCGGUAUCAUUUUCCUAGCGAUCGAAAGGGUUCAAAAUCAAUCAGUUUUAAUGGUUGAUGUAUGCCGUUUGCAAAUUUAACGGUGUAAAAGUAUUCAAAUCAGAUGAAAUUUUGAUAGAAAAUUUUUUAUACUAUAUACAACAUGAUCAAUAUGUUUUAUCAAAAAUUUUAAAGCUAUAUUACUACUUUUUCGGAGAUUUUUAUUUUCAACCGUUGAUUUUGAGCACUUUCGAUCGUUAGGUAAAUGACAUCGAAAAGUCACAAAAUUUAUUUUCUAGAUACCUCAAAUAUGCUAGAUCUAGCCUAAUGGAGCCGAUCGUCGAUUCAGUAGCUCCAUCAUCAAAAACGGCUUAGGAGCACGCACGCCUCAGUGCUCCUAAUAGCACACACCAGACUGACUCUAUAUAGAGUAGGUCUUGUGUGCUAUUAGGAGCACGGAAGCCUCCGUGCUCCUAGGUUGUUUUCGAUGAUGGAGCUUCCGAAUCGACAAUCGGGUCCGUUAGAAUUGAUCUAACGUAUUUGAACUAUCUAGAAACUAAUUUUUGCUAUUUUUCGGUAUCAUUUUCCUAGCGAUCUAAAGGAUUCAAAAUCAACAAUUUUUAAUGGUUGAUAUAUGCUGUUUGCAAAUUUAAUGGUGUAGAAGUAUUCAAAUCAAAUGAAAUUUUGAUCGAAAAUUCUUUAUACUAUAUACAUCAAGAUCAAUAUGUUUGAUCAAAAAUUUUAAUGCUAUAUCACUACAUUUUGUGAGAUUUUUAUUUUCAGCUAUUGAUUUUGAGCACUUUCGAUCGUUAGGUAAAUGAUAUCGAAAAGUCACAAAAUUUAUUUUUUAGAUAUUUGAAAUAUGCUAGAUUAAGCCUAACGGAGCCGAUCGUCGAUUCAGAAGCUCCAUCAUCGAAAACGGCUUAGGAGCACGGACGCCUCCGUGCUCCUAACAGCACACAAGACCGAGUAGGUCUUUUGUGCUAUUAGGAGCACGGAAGCCUCCAUGCUACUAAGCCGUUUUCGAUGAUGGAGCUUCCGAUUCGACGAUCGGCUCCGUUAGAAUUGAUCUAGCGUAUUUGAACUAUCUAGAAACUAAAUUUUGCUAUUUUUCAGUAUUAUUUUCCUAGCGAUCGAAAGGAUUCAAAAUCAACAAUUUUUAAUGGUUGAUGUAUGCCGUUGGCAAAUUUAACGGUUUAGAAAGAUUCAAAUAAGAUGAAAUUUUGAUAGAAAAUUCUUUAUACUAUAUACAGCAAGAUCAAUAUGUUUGAUCAAAAAUUUUAAUGCUAUAUCACUACUUUUUGUGAGAUUUUUAUUUUCAGCCAUUGAUUUUGAGCACUUUCGAUCGAUAGUUAAAUGAUAUCGAAAAGUCACAAAAUUUAUUUUUUAGAUACUUCAAAUAUACUAGAUCACGCCUAACGGAGUCGAUCGUCGAUUCAGAAAGUCCAUCAUCGAAAACGGCUUAGGGGGACGGACGACUCCGUGCUCCUAAUAGCACACAAGACCGACUCUAUAUAGAGUCGGUCUUGCGUGCUAUUAGGAGCACAGAGGCCUCCGUGCUCCUAAGUCGUUUUUGAUGAUAGAGCUUCCGAAUCGACGAUCGGCUCCGUUAGAAUUGAUCUAGCGUAUUUGAACUAUCUUGAAACUAAUUUUUCUGAUUUUUCGGUAUCAUUUUCCUAGCGAUCGAAAGGGUUCAAAAUCAACAAUUUUUAAUGGUUGAUGUAUCCCGUUUGCAAAUUUAACGGUGUAGAAGUAUUCAAAUCAGAUGAAAUUUUGAUAGAAAAUUCUUUAUACUAUAUACAGUAAGAUCAAUAUGUUUGAUAAAAAUUUUUAAUACUCUAUCACUGCUUUUUGUGAGAUUUUUAUUUCCAGCUGUUGAUUUGAGCACGUUCGAUCGUUAGGUAAAUGAUAUCGAAAAGUCACAAAAUUUAUUUUCUCGAUACUUCAAAUAUGCUAGAUCAAGCCUAACGGAGCCGAUCGUCGAUUCAGAAGCACCCUUAUCGAAAAUGGCUUAGGAGCACGGACGCCUCCAUGCUCCUAGGCCGUUUUCGAUGAUAGAGCUUCCGAAUCGACGAUCGGCCCCGUUAGAAUUGAUCUAACGUAUUUAACCUAUCCGGAAACUAAUUUUUUUGAUUUUUCGGUAUCAUUUUCCUAGCGAUCAUCGAAAAGGUUCAAAAUCAAUAAUUUUUAAUGGUUGAUGUAUGCCGUUUGCAAAUUUAACGGUGUAGAAGUAUUCAAAUCAUAUGAAAUUUUGAUAGAAAAUUCUUUAUACUAUAUACAGCAAGAUCACUAUGUUUGAUCAAAAAUUUUAAUGCUAUAUCACUACUUUUUGUGAGAUUUUUAUUUUCAGUCGUAGAUUUUGAGCACUUUCGAUCGUUAGGUAAAUGAUAUCGAAAAGUCACAAAAUUUAUUUUCUAGAUACUUCAAAUAUGCUAGAUCAGGUGUCACGCCCCGGGACUGGCGGAGGCCCUUCCGGUAGCGUGCCCAGACCAUCGUUAGUUAAUUCGCGAAUUAUUCACGAAUUAUUCGCGAAUUUUUGAAAUACCGAAUUAAACACCCGUUUUCGAAUUUUUGCCAAAAAUUCGGAAUAAUUCGCGGUUUUUUGAGCAAAAAUAAUUAUUCGUGAAUAAAACGGAAUUCGCGAAUAAUUCGGCCCAAAAAAACGGCCCUCUUGCUUGCGACUGUGAGCGGACUUGUGGACCUCGCGGUGGCCCAGGAAAAAGAACCUGUCGCCCAAAAAAAAAAAAAAAAAAAAAAAAAAAAAAGAAAGGAUUUCUGAAAACCAUCGCCCCCCUCCCACGAGGCGACGACUCCCACGCUCCCACCCCCACCCCUCCCAAAAAAAGGGUUUGCCCUAACUUCUCACUCCUGCGGCGGUGCGGCCCUGCCAUCGACCCCUGCGGCGGUCUCCCUCUUCCCUUCCGGCCGCUCGCCGAACGCCAUCGGAAGCCCUCCUCUUCAGAAAUCGAAGAUCGAAGAUCGGGUUCUUCACUCUUCAGAAAUCGAAACCCUCCUCGUCGCCUCUUCCUCUUCCGCUUCCGCUUCCGCUUCCGCUUCCGCUUCCGCUAUCCAACGAUAGAUCAGUAACCGGGUGGUUCUUUACAAACCCAGGUAGGUACGAUUUGAGUUUUUUUCAUUCUUCAAAGAAAAAGUUGGAAGGUUUUAGUCAUCUGAUGGAUACUUGUUUUAUACACAAGUGGCUGAGUGCUUAAUUGAAUGUGUCCAUUCUCUGUUAUGCACAAAGAAGACCCAAACAUAGUGCUAAAUAAAUAAUCUUAAUUAACUUUGGGACCAGGAACUCUUGUAUUAUACCUAAUCAAUUUCAUGAUCUUUGUCGACUCUUGCAAAAGGAAAAUUUUGUUGUGGUCUUUCAUGGACCAUUGACUCACUGGGGUUUCUACUUAAUUUUUGAAACAUAACUUUGGGACCAGGUACUAUUUGAGUUUUCAUUCUUCAAAGCAAAAGUUGGAAGCUUUUACAUUUAAAUAUGGACUAUCUUGAUCUCUUAUUUGCUUAAUUAUUUCUUUAUUUUGAGGCAUAAUAUAGUUUACUUUUUUUUUACUUAAUUAGUUUAAUUUUGUAGCUUUUUAUUCUUAUAUUUUUAAAAAAUAUGAGUAUUUAUGCUAAUAGCAUAAAUCUUGAGAGGAAAAAAAUUUAAUUUAAUUUAAUAGCCGAAUUUUUUAUCCCGAAUUUUUAAUUGGUGAACGUAUAAUAUCCGUAUAAAUCACGUAUCCGAAUAAUUGGCGAAUCCGUUUUUUAGCCGUUUUUUUCAACGAAUUUAAAAAUUAGAAGACGAAUUUUAUCCGAAUUAUACCCGUACCGAAUUUUUGCCGAAUCUGAAUUAACUAACUAUGCUCCCAGCUGCCAGGGGCCGGUCCAGUCCUGGUGAACAACCAAGCCUCCUCUCGUGCAGGCAGGCAGCUAGAGAGGGAGAGGGAGAGGAGAGGGAGAGGGAAUGGAGGUGCGCACCCGAGCCCCCGGGAAGAUCAUACUGUCUGGGGAGCACGCCGUGGUGCACGGCUCCACCGCCGUCGCUGCCGCCAUCGAUCUCUACACCCGCGUCUCCUUCCGCCUCCUCCCUCCCUCAGGUUAGGUUCAGUCGUUUGCCUCUUGUGGUCUGUGGUCCGUGGCCGUCUUCCAUUGUCUAAUUUUCUCCUCUGAUUAUUUCCAGAGGGUGAUGCCGGAUCGGUUGAGCUAGAGCUAAAAGAUACGGGCCUAGCAUUCUCAUGGCCGUCCUCGAGAUUGAAGGAGACGUUCUCAUUCGAGGCGAUCGGACCUCCCCUUUCUCCCACUCCCAGGCCAUGCUCUCCGGAACAUUCGAAGCUGAUAGCCUCUCUUGUUGAGGAGCAGAACAUUCCGGAAGCCAAAAUUUGGCUCCGCUCUGGGAUCCACGCAUUCCUCUAUCUUUACACGUCGAUCCAUGGGUACCGCCAAUCUGUUGCAAUGCUUCUUUUCUUAGCUCGCUUUGUUCGUCCGUUCCUUCGUACUACAUAUACUUCCGCAAGUCAUUUACCUUUUCUUUUCUCAACCUCAUUGGGAGUGUCCAAACAGCUUCAAGCCUGGGAAGGUGGUGAUCAGCUCGGAGCUUCCACUGGGUUCCGGUUUGGGAUCCUCGGCUGCAUUCUGCGUCUCGCUGUCGGGAGCCCUGCUUGCGCUUUCUGAUGCCUUUUCAAUCGACAGACAGACAAAGGGCUGGUUAGAAUUGGAGCUGAGUGAACUUGAGCUGGUGAAUAAAUGGGCAUUUGAAGGGGAAAAGAUCAUUCACGGGAAGCCUUCUGGUAUCGACAACACUGUGAGCACAUUCGGUAUGUAAAUAAUGCUCAACAACUAUUAAGCCUUUGCUGUGUGCAUCAUUUUUUUUUCCUUAUCUUAUUCCAUCUAAUAUACUUUUAUACUGAAUUUAUUUUCUUUUUGUCUUAAAGGGGGUAUUCUUUUCACUGAAUUUUAAUACUCCCGUGGAGCUCUACGUUUCUAUUUGAAAUUGACAAGCUUGUCACCGCGCUUCACUGGCCAGAAGGGUGUAAGGGCCUACGGUCUCUUGCUAGUGAGGACUGUUAUACUCCCAUGGAUAUCCCAUUUCAUUGGGUAUGAGAAAAAUAAAAUUGCCAUUCUAUGAUAAUGUAAAAUGCCUUCCACUAGUUGGCAAUCAUUUAUGAUUUGAUCUCUUUUAGAUAAGCUCGUCUUGUCCACCCGUUAAGAGUUGCGUGGUGACGAUCUUGCCAGUUUGGAUAGAAAAUGUAGAACAUUUCUAAGAUGUCUAUCAUUCUGCUACUUGUGAUUUCUUAUUUCUCUAGGUAGGUAAGUUGUGUAGAGUUACAUCUGACUGCAUAUAUGGCAGGGAGCAUGAUAAAGUUUAGAUCAGGUGAGUUAACUCACAUUAGAUCUAGCACACCUCUCAGAAUGCUUAUUACUAAUACAAAGGUUGGGAGGAACACAAAGGCAUUGGUCGCUGGUGUAUCUGAGAGAGUAUUGAAGCAUCCAGAUGCUAUGGCUGCUGUCUUUAGAGCAGUUGAUUCUAUUAGCAAGGAGCUGUCGGUUAUCAUUGAGUCCCCUACUUCAGAUGACGUAUCUAUCAUUGCAAAGGAAGAGAAGUUAGAAGAGCUAAUGGAGAUGAAUCAAGGCUUACUCCAAUGCAUGGGGGUUAGCCAUGCCUCCAUAGAAACUGUGCUUCGAACAACUUUGAAGUAUAAAUUGGCUUCUAAGCUGACCGGAGCCGGUGGUGGAGGCUGCGUUUUGACUUUGCUACCUACACGUAUCCUUGAUCUAGUUAUCUUAGCCGGCUUAUACCUUUUUUCAAGUAUUAUGCCUAAGAAUCUAUAUUUUAUGCUUGAAUAUGAUGGUUGCGAUUUACUUUCUAAAUUUGUCUUUGGUCAUAUUGCUUACAAUAGCUUCGAUCUACUUUUACAUGAUUUGUUAAACUUUGGCUCAUUAAUUUUAUCAGUAAUUGGAAAUGCUGGUUAGCUAGUUACAAGUAUCCUUGAUCUAGUUACGGCUUAUACCUUUCUUCAACUAUUAUGCGUAAGAAUCUAUAUUUUAUGCUUGAAUAUGAUGGUUGCGAUUUACUUUCUAAAUUUGUCUUUGGUCAUAUUGCUUACAAUAGCUUCGAUCUACUUUUACAUGAUUCUUUAAACUUUGGCUCAUUAAUUUUAUCAGUAACUGGAAAUACUGGUUAGCUAGUUAACUUUUUCUUUGCGUUCCCUUUGUCUUUCGCUCCAAUUUAUCUAUAUCCUUUUUUGUUGAGUAAUAGAUUUUGUCUAGUUUUAUUUUUUGUAACUGUUUGUGAUUAGUACAGCAGCAUAUAAUUUACAAAGUAGACCAAUUAGGUUGGCAUUUCCGAUCAAUUAUAAGUUAACUAAAAAGCAAUAGCGUUUAAAGCAUUAAGAAUAGCUUGGUUUCCCAUAAUCUCUCAUUUGACUAAGCCUUUAAAAAUUAUCAGUUCAUAGAUUAGGUCGUCAAUCCACAUUGGUUAUGUAACGUAUGUGAAACAUAGAGGGUGAGGAUACAGUAUUAGUCAACUUAUCCACAUCGUACUUGAGUAAGCCGACAAAUUAUGUUGAUUCAAGGCCUCAUAACAUAAAAUUACUUUGUCUUGGAUGGGCAAAUGAUGCAGUCUAAAAUUAGGGUUUCAAUUGAUUGAGUUCUUGAUUAUGUUAGCUACUUGAUUUAGUUUGGCAUUAUUUGGGCUUUAUUUUGGUUAGAUUUGUAUUUGGUUAUGUACUCGGUAAUUACUCUUGUAGGUCAAAGUAAGCAAGUACCUAAAUUUGAGUGAUACAUUAGGAUAAGCAUUUGGUAGUUUCUAUUCGAUAAAUGGACCCACCGGCUCUAUUGUUCCUGUUCAUUUAAGAAAUUAAAUUUAGAUUUAGAUUUUCCUCUUUUUUGGUUGCAUUUCCUUUCCUCUUCUACUUUGUCCUCCGCCUGUUGCUUCUCUUUCCUUUCCUUUCCUUUCCCCAUCAAUUUAGUCAUCUGAGAAAUUAAUUGGGACAAGGGUUUUAUUCAUUUGUCUCCUCUUCCUAUUCUCUUCUAAUUUCUACUCUGCCUGUCGGUUCUCAUUCCAAUUUUGCUCUUCUUUUCUUUUUGCUCUCGGCCCCUUCAAUAUUGUUAUUGCUGCGUACUGCAGCCAAUUGCAGCAAACUACUUUCUCCCAACCUUUUACCGUCCCACUGCACUACUGUAGCGCUACAACCAUUGCACUACCGUUCCACAACCAAUUACCGUGUUGUUGAUGUUGUUCUUUUUUUUGUUUUACUUAUGCUGCUAUUUUUUGGUGGUUGUUCUGUGUUUCAAUUUCCCUUACAAUGCAUUGUUUCUAUUGCUGAAUUUUUGGUGCAUAUAGUAGAACCCUAAAUUAAGUUUUCAAUAAUUAUUGCGCCCCUCUUUUAGAAUCCUAGGGCUACGUAAAUUUGGUAUUGGAGCAAGUUCCAUCGUAGUACGUAUGUCGGGAUAACUUUUCCUCUUAUUUUCCAUAUUUUUCUGUUUGAUCACAUUUCUUCUGUCCCUUUUUGCCUAUUCCAUUUUUUUUACAAUGACUAUCAGCGCUGAACUUAACCAACUCUUACAGGCUUGAACCAAAACCUCCAUUUACCAAGAUUUUAAGUGCUCGUCAGCACGGGCCAUAUCCACCGUGCUGUACCGUGCCAACAAGAUACCGGCACGAUACAGACCCCGUACCGAUGGCAUAGCUCAAAACCCUCUAUUCUUUAAAUUAGUAAGUAAUUUCCUCAAUAAAGUUCAAAAUAUGUGAUAAAAAGACAUAAUGAAUAGUUAGAAUAUUUUGUUGCUAAAGAAAAUAAAUAUUUCUAUGUGUCGGCACACAAGAAUUUUUUUUGACCGGCAUGUAUCGACACGGCUUGGCACGCAUCGUGCUAGCAAGUUUCCGGCACGCAUCGACACGGCUUGGCACGCAUCGUGCCAGCAAGUUUCCGGCACGACCCCGUGUCACGGCACUUAAAUCCUUGCCAUUUACCCUCUUAACUUUUUGAUCCCCUAAUCCACCAAUAGAUUCCUCCAACCUUUGUACCUAUUUCUCUCUCCAAAGAAAAACCAUGGCCGUAACCCUUUUACUGAUCUUCCAAGACUGAUAAAUUGUGAAGUUUGACAUUCUGCAAAGCAUAGGAUAAAAAUUAUGAUGUUUUUUCUUGAUUUGGUUUUCCCUCUUGAUGCAUCUUUCAGAUAGUAAAAUAUGAUGGAGAAUCGAAAGAUCUUCUUUGUUGAUAUAAACUGUAGACUACUUGCAUGGGGUGAGAGUGAGACAAUGUGAAGGAGACAAGUAUCAUUAUGUUAUAUCCUAGGUGCAGCCAUGUGAUUUCCAACACUAGGAAAACAUGGAAAUGGUGAUGAUGUUCAUAUGGGGCACCAUUAUUUUCACCAGAGGCAUCAGUGUUGGUUGAUGAUGCUCAUAUAGGCCUAGUUUGGUAAUGUGGAGGCUAAAAGAACCAUUUUAAUACUAUGAAAGAUCCAAAAAAUUUAAAAACUCUUGUAACGUAUCUUCCUCCAAUGCUUUAAAAUUGUGGUUGCAACUGCCACCGGAGAAGCAUGUGGCUACAUGUUUCUCCAGUGGCGGUUGCAACCAUAAUUUUAUAGCAUAAAAGAAGGAAAAAUUGAAAGCGCUUUUGUAAAUUUGGGCCCUCUAUAAUAUAAAUAUUGUGCUUUUAGCCAGCAAAUUACCAAACGAGGCCAUAGUACCCCACUACUCUUAAGUAUAUGGUUAUGCAUUAGUGGCAUUGUUUGAAUGACUCUAUGAAAUUGAAGAACACUUAGUUAAGAACUGCCACAAAUUUUUAUAUCAUAAUUAUAGAUAGAAAUUGGAUCAAUUUUUAUAUUGUUACAUGAUAUCAUAAUUUCAUCGGUUGCCUUUCCAGGUCUAGUCAUAAAGACAAUUAUAUACGGGAAUGCAGUUUAAGCCGUAGGAAGCCGAGGGUUAACAACCUCCCAGACCUAGUCCAACCAGUUCCGAUAGUCAUAAGCCUGUCCUUUUCCUUGUGUACCCUCUUUCGGGCUUCUAUUUUUUCUACUCUUGAAAGCAAGCGAGUGAAAUAAAAUUACGCGUCCGAGCUUCUCCUCAACCAGUGGAAGAGCACUUCUCUCUCUUUUCAUUCGGCUCUUGCCUCUUUUGCUUCAUUUCAUCUAAUGAUCAGGUCCUAGCCUCAAGGCAACAACCAAUUAGUUAUCAGCCUACUGACUAUUGCAUCAUAUGGGUUUUAUGAGAGAGGGAUCACUGGGGUGAUACACCAGAUAAAAAUCGAUAAUUGUCAGCAUAUGAAACAGUGAUUUCAUAUCUUAUAUGUGCUUAUUUCUGUUAUUCCUUUGAUUCUUGCUCCCGGCGGUUCAUUCAUUUGACCAUAACUAAAGCUACUUUGGAUUCUGCAAAAUUUUUUUGAUUAAUUAUUACUUUUGUUGAUAUUAUCAUAAUAAAACUUACCCACGUUGCUUAUUGCUGUCCCUUUUAUCAUUUUACUAUAGGAAGAGAAUGACCUUUAUAAUUUAACAUUUUAUUGGUUUUUUAUAUCAUUUGCAUCAUCUUCAACCACCCUUACACGAGAACUUGUAACUUCUCCGGUUUAAAUCCAUGACCAAUGAAUGAAACGUGAAUUCUAGUAAAUGCUAAGCCGUAAUGAUUUAUGUCCGUAAUUUGUAAAUUAGCUCGAUUCAUCUCAUCUUCUCUUAGUCCAUAGUGUCUUGUUACACAACCUCUUGACAAUAUUAUCCAAGUUGGCCAAGCCCAUAGAAUAAGGCAAUUUUUGUACUGGAAGUUCUAAGAGUUUACUCAAAAUACCUUUUGGAAGUUAAAUUCUACAUAAUCUUUAGUCUACUUAAAUUGUCUGCUGUUAAAACUCAGAAGUAUGUAUCUUGCCUAUGUUUAUGCUAAAAAUAUUUCUAAUUUACAAGAAGAAAAUAUUACAUUUCCAAAAUUGUCCACAAAAUCAACUAAACAAUAUAAAAAUUAGUAGCAUUGACCUGUCUUGUUAUAGUUGUACUUUUCUGUACCCUUUAUUACCAUUAAUUAUCUCUAUUAAACAUUUCAUCAACCCUUUCUUGUUUACUUAUCUAGCUGUUAGAAAUUAGAAUGCAAUUAUAGACUGCUAAUUUCGUGUAAAAUUUCUAUGUAUCUCAAAAACUUAAUGAGUCUCUAUUUCUACUUGUGAUUUCCCAGGGAUAAAUAUUUUAUUUGAACUUAGUACCUCACAGUCUGUCAAGUCUUUUUUGUGUUAGAGGUAUGCUAUAUGGAAACUAAGGGCUUAUGAUCUUCAUGUGCUUUAUAUGUAGUCAUGAAAGUUUUCCAGACAAUCCAAUUAUUACGUAAACCUUUAACUUUUCCAGAAGCUAGACUUUCUGUGGUGCAGUCUAAAUCUAGACAAGCGUUUAUUAAUUCUUUCCAUUGUAAUUUCGUAAGGUUUAGGGGUUGCACAUGUUAUUAGCAUUGCAUUGAACUCUAGUUUGGAUUCGUUUGGAUAGUUCAGGAUUAGAUGCAUUAUUGGUGGAUCAAGCAUCAAUUCAGUUACGAAAGGGGAUUAAAUCUUCACUGGAACUUCUUUUAAGAUGUUGGAUUGAAUGCGCUCAAAUUUCUAGCAGUGUUUCAAUGAUUUUGAUUUAAACUGCUGUUUUCAUUUCCUCCAUGCUGAAUUACAUGUUCUAAAUUAAGUUAUAGAGCUGUCUUUCAUUUCUUUAGAUGGUCGUUUGUUGAUUUGGAACUUCCUGAGUUUUAGCCAUUCUGGUUUCAGUUUAAAACUGUGCCAAUGCCUUUUCGCUGCUAGUGCCGUUCAGAUUUGUUGCUUUUAUUGCUGCCCAUUUUGAAUAUAUUUUACUGCAGAAACCUACCUUUAUUUGCUGGAUAACCUUCAUCAUGCCUCACUGCUUUAUAAUACUAGUCAGUUAGAAAUCUUUUCACGGCCCCUUUAGGCAGAGUCCUUGGAUGAUUAUAUUGAGAGUUUUCAAUGGCUAGGAUUUCCCUUAGUUCUUCCACUCCAAUUGUUUCUUAGAUGUAAAUUGUUUACUUUUUGUCUCUUUCUUCAAAGAAAAAAAAUCUUCAUUCACUGUUAUUCAGUUGUUCUUCUUCAAAAGCUCUUUCUAGACGGAAUUUUGUCUUUUUUCCCUUUUUUGCUGCUUUAGGAGAGCUUUCUUAGUGACAAAAGAAAAUGCAACUUGAUUUGCCACACUACCACUGUCUAAUAGCAUCCUUUUUGUUAGUGGACUACAUCAACUUGGUAGUGGUGCAAGUUCAAAAUAAAGUAAAUCCUAAUCUAGAUUUAGGCUGCAUCAAAGUUUGCUUGGUUUGAGGUGAACUUUUGAUUUGAUCUUUUCAUAGAGAUUUUUUUUUUUAUUUUUCUUAUUUUUAUUUUUAUUUUUUUGUUUGAAAAAUGAUCUGUUCAUAGAGUUUCAUUAUCUUGUCAUUACUAGUGAAAUACCCGCGUGUUGCUGCGGAUAUAAAAAUAUUUUUAUAAUAAAUUUAUUUUUUUAAAUAUUUUUAUAUAGUUUUAUAAAUUUAAUUAUUAAUUAAAUAAAUAUUAUAUAAAAAUAAUUUAAUAGUUAAAUCUAUUUAAAUAAAGAUCAUUCAUUAAAAUUGGUGGUAUAUGCCAAUAGUAGAAUUAUACGAAUAUUUAUUUAUAAAAGAUUUAUCUGAAAAGGAUUGAGGAUAAAUUCUAGUCAAUAGAUAAUUUUGUGUUCGGUAAGAAAGAUGGAGGUGCGAGUAAAUAGAAGGAAAACUGAAAAUGUGGUGAGAAGAGAGAGUUGUUGAGAUACGAGUGAGCGGAUGGGGGUUCGUGUUUUUAGGCGAUAUUGGAUGUAUUAUGGGGUGAUAUUAUAUAGAACUAGUUUAGGCUAUAUACUAAUAAUAUCACCAAGUUAUUGGUGGCUACCAAGUUUUUGGCCAUUGGAUUAAGAGAUGUGCGGUUAGGAUGAUGUGGGUCCCCUAGGGUUGAGUGGGUGGUGGUUUUGAAUAGUAUAAUCGUAACGGAUGAGAAAUGAUCAAAAGGGGUAGUUCUAAGCGCGGAAAACUUGGCUGCACCAGUGUUUCGUUGCUAUUAAUAGCAUAGAGCCGGACUCUUUCUCUUCGUUCUUCUCUCUGCUGCUCGUGUAUAUAUAUUAGGUAUAUGAUGGAUAUUACUAUUUCGUAAAAAUUGUUAAGUUGUUGACUCGUGAUAAAUGUUAGAAUCUCUGUAUUUUUUGAUACAGCAAGUAUUUUUACGUGACUUUAAAUUGCAUCUAUUUAGGUUUAGAGUGGUUGAUUAGUGGUUAUGUUAGUUACGUUGCUGAUUGAUUAAGUAGAAAUUAAGUUAAACUAGAACUAUUUUUAGGCUUAAUUAUUGAAACGAAAUGUAAGUUGGAAUGUGUGAAAUUUCAUAGAGUUUGAGAAGACUGUUUGAAGAAUUAAAAUUGUUGAAGUUAAGAAUUGUGGAAGAGUAAAAGGUGAUUUAUAAGGUUAAAAUUGAGACACAUUGUAGAAUUUGAAAAAGUAUGAACAAUACGUAAAAUAUCAACAAUUGGAAGAGUAUCAAGAAUGUUAAAGGAUACUUAUGUAUGGUGGGUUGUAGCGUGAUGUGAUAUAUGAUGAUAUAUAUAUAUAUAUAUAUAGAGGGAGAGAGAGAGUAAAGGAGGGUUUGGGGGGACACGUGUCACCCUUUGGUCCCCCCAAACCCUCCUUUAAUGUAGUAGAAAGAAUAGGAAUAGAUUAUUAUCCUGCUAUAAUCUUAUAUGACUAAGUCUAGGAUCCUGUUGUGCUGAUUUGGCUUCAAAUCUUCCCUUUUCAAAUUUGAUGUUAGUGUGAUUGAAUGGAUAAUUGAUGCCUUUGGAGAUAAUCUAGUCUAUGAAAGCUCUAUGCAGGAAAUGAAAGUAAAUAUUCUUGCUCAAGAUAUCAAAAAAUGUUUUCUGAUAAAUUUUCAACUUGAAUUAUAUUUCACCAUUAAAACAACAACUACACCCAAUUAACAAUAAAAGUAGUCAAAUUUAAGGGGGCUUGAGUGAUUGGUACAGAGCAUUGAAAUUCAAUGAAAUUUGGUUUCUAGUGUCUUUAAUACCAUAAAACAUUUAUAAUGGCUCCAAUCAUCGAAUCAAAUGCCCGAACAUAGAUUUUGAGAAGGAUUUGGAUGCAAAUCCUCCCAAAAGGAUCCUAGCUUAUCUUAUAUGAAGUACUUGAAAGUUGAAACUAUUUUUGCAUAUCGAUGAUUUUAAACACGACUUUCUAGUGCGUAGGAGCUAAGUUAGAUGGAGAUGAAUACGGAGCAUAGGACAGGACACAUACUCAAACAUGGCAACUUAGCAACUCCAAGCAAUUUAGGAUAUUGAUGCGACAAGGACACAUCUAGUCAUAUACAAUAUUUAUUAAAUAUAAUAAUUUUUUACAUAAAAUUUUUAUAUUUUAUUAUGCAAAACAUCAUAAAAACCUUAAAAAAGAAGAGUAGAAAAACCAUCGUAUUAAGAGAAACUAUCUUGAAAAUAGUCUUAAAAGAUAAGAAUUUGAAAUCCUAAAAAAAAGGAUUGAACACUAGAAAGACUGAAAAGAGAGGAAAAGAAAGAAAAAAAAAAGAGAUUUUUGAGAGGAUAUCAAGCAAAGGUGGGCCAUAUGGUAGAGGAAGUGGGUGAGAUAGCAGCUAGUGACAUCAAGGAUUUAAGUAUCGUGGAAUGGGGUUAUGCCAGAAAUUUGCUGGCAUGGGCUAGCAUGGUAUGGCAUGGUGCGUGCCGGGUCGUGCCGAUGCGUGCCGGUCACAAAAAAUAUGUGUGCCGACACAUAAUGGCAUGAAAUAUUUAUUUUGUUUAGCAACAAAAUAUGCCAAUUAUUUUUUAUGUACUUUUAUCAAAUCUUUUGAACUUUAUUAAGAAAAUUACUUACUAAUUUAAAGAAUAAGAGGGUUUUGAGUAGUGCCAUCGACACGGGGGCUGUAUCGUGCCGAUAUCUUGUUGGCAUGAUACAGCACGGUGUAUACGGCCCGUGUUGAUGGGCACUUAAAUCCUUGGCUGGUGUACCACUAAUUCUUUCUUUUAUCGGAUUUUUUUUAUUUUAUGGACAAAAUAUAUAUUUUUUAAGGUGUUAAUGGGCCGGACUUCCUUAAUAGUUCUGUUAGAUAAUGUGAAACAACUGUUUUUCUCUAAAAGCUUAAGGUAACAAACAAGGAUUUAAGUGUUGUGGCACGGGGUUGUGUCGGAAAGUUGCCGGCACGGUACGGCACGGUGCGUGCCGAGUCGUGCCGAUGCGUGCUGGUCAAAAAAAUUCUUGUGUGCCGACACAUAAUAGCAUGAAAUAUUUAUUUUGUUUAGCAACAAAAUAUUCUAAUUAUUUAUUAUGUCUUUUUAUCACAUUUUUUGAACUUUAUUGAGAAAAUUACUUACUAAUUUAAAGAAUGGAGGGUUUUGAGCUGUGCCAUCGGCACGGGGUCUGUAUCGUGCCGGUAACUUGUUGGCAUGGUACAGCACGGUAGAUAUGGCCCGUGCCGACGGGUACUUCAAACCUUGGUAACAAAGAAUAGUGUUUUUAAUAUUUAUAUUCAACAAGGUCCAACUAAAUUCGCAAUAGGGUGCGCCCUAUGCAGCAUUUGAGUGGAGCAUGUGUGCUUUUAUUUCUUUUAUCAUGCUGACGCACAACGUAUGUGAGUUUUUCUUGUGUCUGCUGCGCAUCCUUUUCCAGAUGCAACUCUGACUCGGAUGCAAACUUCUUCACUAGGGAUGCAAACGGGGCGGAUCUGGGGGCGGGAGCCCCCGCCUCCCACCCCGAAUUCGUAACGGAUUAAAAAAUACAUCCCAUAAUCCAUCCCGCCUUGUAACUCGCCUCCCGCCGGCGCCCCGAAUCCGCCCCGCCAACUAAUAUUUUUUAUAAAAUUAUAAUAUUAUUAAUAUUUUGUAAAAUAUAAAAUAAUAAUUUUUAAUAAUAUUAUAUAUAUAAUUUAACAAUAUCAAUUAUAAAAAUAAAAAAUAUCAAUCACAAUUCAAAACAAAAUUCAAAAGUUUCAAAUACAUUAAAAAUGAGAGUACUAACUUAUUUGUAUUUUGAACUUUUUUGUAAAUACAUUAUUUUUUAGGAAUAUUUUUUUAAAAUAUAAAUGAUUUUCGGGGCGGAUUCGGGGCGGAUCAUGGCGGUGCGAAUUCGGGACGGGUCAAAAUUUCCCCCGUUUCCUGCCCCGAAUCCGUCUCGGAUCGUAAAAUUUACCCCAUUUUCUGCCCCAAAUCCGUUUAUUUUCUCCCUUUACUGCCCCCGUCGGGGCGGGAGCUCCACCAACCCGGAUCCGUUUGCAUCCCUAUUCUUCACAGCUGUGUCCGUGUUACCUAGCUUAGGAGUUGUAACUUUCUUAUUCAAGUUUCUUGCAAUAUAGUACUGAUUGGUGAGAUUGAGGUUUAAAGUACUUGAAGCUUUUUGUCAAGCAAUUCUUUUAGGCAUGUCGCAAGAUUGCCCAUGUUAGCCUGUGCCAAAGCCAUCCCAGCAGGUGGCAUAGGGUCGAGCUUGCAUUGUACGGACUUUUUCUCUCUUUCUAUUUUUUUUGAACUUUUGGUGUCUUUUUCAGUUUUGUUGAGUUGAGAAGCUUUACAAAGAUUUUUCAUCCUUGAAAUACAUAGAUCUUGUAAAUCUACUAAUAUUUGGAGCAAUUAAUGAGUCUCAUACUCCCAUUGCAUAAUAAGACGGAGUUUUAGUGAAAUAAUACAAAUAAGAAGAUUUCCCCCAAUUUUUGUCAUCAUUUUAGAUCUAGUUAAUCUAACCAUGGUAGUGUUUUCUCAUAAAUUUUCACCUAAUUUUGGCUUUUAUGUUCAUGCAUAUACUUUCAUAACAUAAAUAAGAUAAUUUUUUCAGUUACUAAGAUCUUUAUGACCAUAUUCUUUCUAAAUUUUGUGUGAUAACACUUGAGUCAUUCUUUUAGCUAUUAGAGAUGUCAAAACACUCUAGACUGCUAAGUUUUCAGGAAAACUUGAUAACAAAGACCGUGCCAAAAUGAAGCAGUGUGCUAGUGGUGUGCCACUAGCACAAUGGGGGUAUUCCAACAUUGGCACACCCGACACAGCAAUCUGUGGUAUGUCUAAUCCUCCUUUGUUAGUAAGUGGUUUGGGUUCUCUGUAGUCUCUGUAGCCUGACCAAAAGGUAAAUAAAACAUAAUCACAAAUAUUGGAGCAUUUACACCAUACAAACACCCAAACGGAUAGUUGAUGUGUUUUCCUGAUCAACACGAUCAGUGGUUGAACAUAGUGCUCUUUCCAUUAAUAAAAAAUUUCUGCAACACUGGAGCAGCUGCUAGUACUACUACUGUAGCUCUACGGGAGAAACCACUUCUUAUGAAUGUGCUUUUAACAGGUAAAAAAGAUUAAAUCAAAAUAUAUAUCUUGUACAUCUUUGUUAAAAAGAAACAAUGUGCAUUUCUCAAACAGAGUCAUACACUCUCCAAGUACAUAACUUAUACAACAACUAAUUAUGUCAACUGUUGUUUCUCCAUUCCAAUGUAAGAUGUCUUACCUGCUUAGAAAUGGUGAUCUUCUCUUCAUCUUCCAAUCACAUAUUGAUAAUAACUUGAUUGUUAGAUUGAUAUAUUGCAAAUUAUUUUCUUGUUCUGUAUUGUUGUUCUUUCCUCUCUUUUUUUCCGUUUUACCUUUUUCACUAGUCCUACUUUUGGCUUCAAGCAUCCAAGUUCAGAGUUUGAAGGUAGUAACGAUAGUGGCAGUCAAAACUUGGCCACAAUAACUGAACUUAGAUAAGGUGAAAGCUUGCUAUGAACAAGCCUUCUAAUAAUGUAACAAAUCUAGUUCCUUGGCGUGCCAAUGAUAUAGAGAAACAGAAAUAUUCCAUACAAAAAAUGACUCGCAAGAAAAUUUAGGAAUUAGAAUAUUGUUUUGUUUUUUCUUCUACACUUGAAGUGCAACCUAUGUGAACAGAAGUUUUAAGUUGCAUCCAGCAUGUAAUAUUUCAAGCAUAAAUUUGCUCCUCAUGACAUGCGCCAUUCUGAUUGGCCAUCAUCAUUUGUGUGCUUCAGUGCUGUACAUUGCAUUAUUUGACAUAGCACAUGCAGGCAUUUUAGGGAUCAUGUAAAAUGGGGUUAUGUAGAAUAUGUUUGACCCUUUUUUUUUGACUUGGGUCUUUGUGGAAAUAAAACCGUUUUCUCGAUUCUUCAGGUACACCUUUCAUUCAACUCCUGUUAACACUAUCAUUUUUUUUCAAUUGAGAGAGAGAGAGAGCUACUCGCUUUGUUCUUUCUUUUUUUUAAGAAAUGAAUUUAGCCAGAAAUAUGAAGCAACUACGCUUUGAACUUGGUCCCUUGGGUACCAACCAUCAAGCCCUUAGGCACUUGCGAAAGGGAUGGUUGGUAACACUUUGAAUUCUUAAAUGCUACAGUUUCUUAUGUCACUAAUUCUGAAAUCUAUUUCUUAGCAGUAUUCUUUAUUCAUUAUUCAAAAUGAAAUUGAUUAUUUAACAGGAUGGGAUCUAUAUAGAAUUGUGUGUUCCAUGGCAUCUCUAUAGUUGAAUAUAAUCAGAAUUAGACAAAAUAUACUGCAAAGAAGCCCUUAACCAUCAAAAAUUUUAUGUUAAUAUAAUCUUUUCUGCAUGCCAAAUAGUGGUAACAUUAGUAUUUUGAGAAUUACCGACGCACAAAAUUCAACCCUUGAAACUAUGAGGAACGAUGAUAUGAAUCCUCUGCUGCUUUUACUAUCUAUUUCUUAGCAGUAUUCUUUAUUCAUUAUUCAAAAUGAAAUUGAUUAUUUAACAGGAUGGGAUCUAUAUACAGACUUUUGUGUUCCAUGGCAUCUCUAUAGUUGAAUAUAACCAGAAUUAGACAAAAUAUACUGCAAAGAAGCCUUUAACCAUCAAAAGUUUUUAUGUUAAUAUAGUCUUCUCUGCAUGCCAAAUAGUGGUAACAUUAGUAUUUCGAGAAUUACCGACGCACAAAAUUCAACCAUUGAAACUAUGAGGAACGAUGAUAUGAAUCCUCUGCUGCUUUUACUAUGUUUUUUCUGUUUAAAUGUAUUUUAGGCAAUUAUAAUACGCAGAGAUGAGCUGAACUAGUAUAGCAUUAAACUAGAUAUAUGUCUGUACUGUUCUGAUUUAUUCUGGUUUAAAUGACCAAAUUUAGCAUUUCACUUAUCUCUUUAUUUGCCAUAUUAUGUCUGCCUCUCUCAUCUAAACAUUGGAAAUGUCCAUGACACAAUAAUUAGUAUUAUCGACCAAGAUCGUGGACAAGGUUAUUGCGGAACUUGAGUCAUGUGGAUUUCAGUGUUUGAAGGCAGAAGUUGGUGGGAAAGGUCUGGAAGUUUGUUUCAGCUGAUGUUCCUAGACUUGUCAUACAUUUGCAAUGUUAGUAUUUCUCGGCAAUUAUUGUGUUGGCUUUUCAUUUAUGUAUAACAAUGAAGAUCACACUUUUAUCUACAAUCCAUUGCUGUUCUAGUCAUCGUCAUGGCCGCAGUCACUGUUGACAAAUAAGAUAUUAUGUAAUAAAAUUUUCACCUAUCAUUUUCCAUGAAAUUAUGGACCUGUAAUUUGUAGCACCACCUGUCAACUGCUGCUGCAAAUGUAGUGGAAGGCAGUUGUGCUAAUUCCAUUAGGAUUGGUCAUAUACAAAUAAGUUCAAUGGUUAUAUUUGAAGUACAUCGCCUUAUUGCUAUGUUUCUGUGCUACUAGAGGAUUCGUUUACCGCUUAUUAUCAUUAUGUUUUGUUUACAUUUUCAUGCAGGUGCAUGAGUGCAUUCUGAUUAAAACUUUGGGAACUAUCACAUUUUUUUCCCACUGCUUGUAAUCUACUGAAUCCCAUCCCAUUAUGCUGAACCUUGACCAAAUUGGCUAAAAUAUGGUGAGGAAGGAUUAGGGGAGGUCCAUGUCGGGUUCCGAAGGCGUCGGAACAAGAAGUAUCGGUGAAACUUGAAGAAAGUUGGGAGCAAAUAAAACUUUUGGAAAACGAUUGUAUUUCGAAAUCUAAUUAUUUUUAUAAGAAAAAAAUUAUAAUUUUCCAAUGUUGGAAGUGUUUCACAUGUGUGAAGGAUUUUCGGUUGUGUUGGAUUUGAUUUGGAGAGAAAACGGAAUGAAAAUCGGAUUUUUAAAGCGAAAAUUAGAAGAAAAUAAAGAGGCUGAAAAUACUGAUCACAGUGUUAGGGUCCGGACCUUGUGGUAAGGUUCGGACCUUGACUGCGAAAAUGCCCGAAAUGAGGUACGGGUUCGGGGCCUUAAUAGAGGGUCCGGACCUUGCGCUGUUUGGGCCUCCACCCCACACAUGAGAGAAAAGGGGAAACCCUUCUCUCUUUCUCUCUAACACCUCUCUCUUCCUCUCUUGUAAUUCCUCCUCAAGGUUGGAGGAUUUGGUGGAGAGCAAGAUUAGAAGAAGGUUGAUGGUGGUGGGAGCUCUCUAAUGGUGGAUCAAGCUUGGAGAGCAAGGUGGCCAUGGUGAGUUUUUAGGAUUUGAGUUAGGGUUUUGUCUCAGGAUUUGAGUUAGGGUUUUGGUUGAUCCUUUAAAAUUGAUGUUUUUGGAAGUCGUAGAUGAUUCUGAACUAAAUUGGGUAAAGGUUUAUCAUGGAUUUUGGGGUUUUCUUAUAGAACUUGAAACUCUAGGAUUAGAAUUGGGGCUUUUGUUGCUAAGAGAUUUGGAACUAAAUUGAUUGUAUAAAUCUCUAAUUGAAGGGUAGUUCGACGCAAGUGACAACUCCGAUUUGGAUUAUGACGAGGUUACAACGUCUGAUUGGGAGAUUUUGCCGAAUUUGAUUCAUUAGGCUUGGGUCGAGCUGAAUCGGGUCGGAAAUCAAAUUGCUUAAAAAUCCUAACAAUUGUUAAUUAACUAAGGUUGGUGGUGCUCUCCGAAAUUGUUGGAUUUCUCCUUAUGUCUAACUCUAUUCUUUGUGCAUAUAUGUGUAUAUGUGGAAUUGUAUUUGUUUGGGUUAAAGUUAUCAUUUUUUCGUGUGAAUUACAUGCUUCCUAAGUUAAUGAAUAGACAAUUGUGAUCGAGAACUUUACAGUUAGGAUACAUGAGUAUAGUGCCAUGUGAAUCGUUGUAAUAUAAGAAUUAGUUGUUUGGACGUAGAAAACAUAGUGAAACACUAGACCUCAUUGUGAGUGUUAAACAUAAACCUAGUGAUGGAAAUAUAGAUUGAGUAUCCUAUUGUGCAAGUAAAGAAUAUGAAUAUUGUGUGUCAUGAUUGUACAAGUGAGUUUGUUGCCGUAGUUGCACAGGAUUUGAAAUGAGCAUGUUAGGGAUUAGUAGAUCCCCGGAUGUUGCUACCCUAGUUAGUAGGGUGUCGUCGAGAUCAGAGGACUAGAUUGUACUCACAUUGUCUAUUUGGCUUGUGAUGGUUGCGACACUACAAGCAGUGAGUUUCAGAGUUGUCACAUAUCGGUUAAGCCGAAUUCUUCCCAGCAGGUGGCCCCAGAUGGGUUAAGCGAAAAUUCUUCUCAACUGUUGGCCCUGGUAUUGUGAGUGGGCUUGACCUCCGGGUGAGCCGGUAUGAUUGGGUCGUGAGGUUAAAAAGGAAGUCAGCUGAGCAUGGUAGUCAUGUCUUUGAUUACCUUGUGAAGUCUUGUAGUAGCAUCACAUGACAGGUGACUGGUCGAUUAUGCCUCCUCUGUAGACAAUCUGUGUUGGGUUGAGCGGAAUUCUCCCUAGUAGACGAUCUAGAAGAGGGAUUUGGGCUUGACUAUACGGUGAGUCGGUAAAAUUGUGUCAACAGAAAUAGAUAGCCAAAUUAGCAUAUUGGGCCUUGGAACCUAUUUCAUUUUGCAUAGGCAUAGUAGUGCUUGUGUUCAUUUUAGCUUUAUGCAUAGUAUAGUUGUUAUACUGCUUUCCUAUUCUAUUAUUUACUUUUGCCUUAAUAGACUUAGUGGGAAAGUCGGUGAGGUCGGCGGCCGAACCCAUUGAAAACUUCUUUUAGUUCUUACCCCCUAUUUUCAAGAGCCAACCAUUAGCGGAGCAGCAUCGGACCGAGGCGUGGGCGUUGUGCCCUAGAUAGCCGGGUCACCAAGUUUAGGUUGCCCUAUGUAUAAGCAAAUUAAUAUAAAUGUAUUUUUGAAAGAAAAAAAUGUAAUUGAUAACGAGGUUGUAUUUUGAGGAAGAACUCGGGUAUUAAAUUUGAGAAUUGUAUGUAAAAUGUGUAUGUUCAAGUGUUGAAAUAGCUAGGUUUAACUUUCUUGCUCUCGUGAUAUGCCUUCGUGUAGAACUGUAUUAUGUUGUUUUUCCUGGGUGAAAUUCAAUGUACUUGUUUUGUUUAUGCUUUGGGCGGAUAAGGAAAACUCCGUCCGUUCAGCGGUUUGUGUACAUGCCCGAACCGACCCAAGUGGCGGUGCCGUGGCGUAAUAGAUAAGAGUGGUAUCAGAGCGUAGAAACAGUCUAGGAGGACCUGGGAAAACUUAGGUUUGGAAAACCGUAAGAACCUAGGCUCGUGAGUGGACGGAACUUAUGGUGAAAGUGAAAUGAUUGGGUCAAGAUGUGUCUCAAAUAGUAUUUUGGAGGUGGAUUAAAAGUGUUGCAACUACUCUAUUUAGAUGAUCAUGUUGGCUGCAGACAACAUGAUGUUGAAAGUAGAGUAAGGGUGCCCUUCUAUGACUUUCGCUUGAUUGGGUCAGCUAUUGUGCGCGACGGAAUUAAGUUCGAUCAUUGGAUCGCCUAGGUACGUGCGUUAUCCCUCGAGUGACGAUAGAAGUUACUUGGUGGAGCGGAUCUUGCGGAAGAUUAGAUAGCCCUCCGAUGUUGCGAACGAAGUGUCGCUAAGGGCAUGAGGCUUCCCGUUGUGGUCGAGAUGUUUGGUCUUGAGGAGCCAAUGUGUGUCUUGACUUGGUGUUAGGACUGUAGUUGUGGAAAUUUGAUAAUUCUCAUCUUAGUGGACCUGGAGACGUUUGCCUCAGCUAAGAUGGGUAAUGGAUGCAAUGCGUGACCCUGAGUGAUGGAUGUGGUGCACGAUCCUUGAUAAUAGUUGCAAAGGCACGACCCAUGGGGAAACGGCAUAGGUAAGACUGGACUAUGGUCGGAUAACGAGAAUGAACUAGCAAAGUGGCGACGGUUGAAAAUGGAGCCGAGUUGAUAGGGUCGGUAAGUGGAACAUUCCGGGAGGAUGGCCUCGUUUUUCCAAGGCAGGGAAACAUGAUGUGACUCGUAGGAGCAUGUCAGUUCAGGUUGGUUAUUAAGUAUAGCAUGUUUUACACACUAUAUUGAAUGUGUUAGCGGUUAAUUCUCUACGGGAUUUUAAGUUGAGUGGGUGCGAGGAUUGAGAUUUUUUCUGUAUAGAUAAAUGCACUGUUAAUGAUGUUUUUAUGUAUAUUUUAUUUCUAAAAUAGCUGGUCAAAUUUCAGCGAAAAAUGAAUUAAAAUAAGGCUGUUAUGCGAUUUUUAUUAUUUACUUAAGUGAAUAGUAACUCGUGUUUUCGUUUGAGGCCAUUGAGUGUAAGAUGGCUCUGUCACAUACCGGUACUUUGUUUUGGGUUAUCCAAUAGGCCGUUUUGUUGGUCCGACUAUGCUGGAGUUAACGACGCUGACGGGUUUUGAGUUUAACACAUAGUUUUCGAGAAAAGUGAAUUUUAUCGCAAAAAAGACAUUUAUUUCUCAUUAUUUUUGCUUUUUAUAACCAUAUGGUGCACCAUUUUGCGUGAAAACCCAUGGGCGGGGAUCUUUCUGCGAGAGAUGGCAGUGGAGAGGGACCAGAUUGUAAUUAUUGAGGAUUGGAGGAGUUUUGAGUGAUUAUUCUUUUAAAUGUCAAUUAGGAUUAGGAUUAAGAGUAAUUAGGGUUAAAGGAGCCUAGAAACCCUAGCCCUAACCCCUAAUCUCCUCAUACUUGGUCCAUCAGAGAGAUUGUUGCCAUUGUCCUCGCUGCCGCCGGCCGCCGGAGAAGAAGAAAGUCCCAAUUCUUCUUUUCCUCUAUCUCUUUUUCUCUCUCCAAUAGCCUUGUGAAGGGGGUGACCUAAGUCUCCUUGCAACUAGCCACCAUCGACUGAGACCGCCAGCGGCGUCACCACCGGCCCCCGGCGCCCGCCCCUGUGCAACCCUCGGUGCUGCCCUGCCCUGGGGAGCUACCGCGGCCAAGGGCAAGGCCGCAGACCCCGUGCGACCGUGGGGAGCCACCCGACCGACGCCGCCGCACCGCGACGCCUCAUGUUGUCGCUGUCGGUCCCAGGGAGGCCACCGACGCCAUCCCAGCUACCCCCGAGCCGCCGCGGCGAUGUUGAGCUCAGCCCUAGCCGCGAGACUGCUUGAGAGCGCUACUGCCGUGCCGCACCGCCGCUGCCUCCCGCCGCCGGCCAAGGCCACCAAUCACCUCCCCUGAGUGCGGUGACCCUUCCCUAGCCGGAGCCUGCCCUGCCGUGCCACCAGCUGCUCCUUGCUAAAAGCCUUAGCUCGACUUGAACUAAAACCAGGGGCUAAUCUUGCGCGAUCUUCGUUUUUCAGCCACCAAUGACUUCGCCGAGCAUCGAAAGUGUGAGCACCGCACUUCUCGGUUCCUGUGGAGUCCCGUGCUCACCUUCUCUGUGAUCAAUGAAGUUCCAGUGCUCGCGAUGAACUCGGCCGUUUCGGGAUCAAGCAAUCAGAGGAUUUUCUCGUUGUUUUGGGCCUUUUCGGUCAUCGGUUGCGCUCCGGACAAUGAGCACGAGCAUUGUUGCAUCAAGACGAAUCACAUUGACUAGUUGGCUGGAUCCGUUGCGACGCGGAUUGGGGUAACGAGCUUGAAACUUGAUUCUAUGUAUUAUUUGAUUAACGGUUAGUGCACUAGUUGAGUUGUUUGUGAGUGUUAUAAAGUGGGAGCCCUAUGCUCUGCCUCGGACAAUGUGAAAAUUGUUUGUGAGUGUUAUAAAGUGGGAGCCCUAUGCUCUGCCUCGGACAAUGUGAAAAUGCUAUUAGCCACCUCAUGACUGAUCGUCAAAGGUCCGGGAGCCGUGUGGAGUGAAAACGAGGUUCCAGGGCAUCGUUUGGGCGAAAUUCGUCGAUCGGACGUGGGUUGUUUUGUGGGUUUUGAUGUUCUAGCAUUAUGGAUAGCUUGAGAACCCCACCAUGCCUCGUUGGCUGGUUGGAACCUUGCUGGUGCGAAGUACAGACCAGCGAUGGAUCCUACGUGGGUUUCGGAGUAAAAAAUGAUGAUUUCCUGGAACCCGGUACGCUGGAUUUUAGGGUUUUUGCACCUGGAUCGCACUGCUUAGCGUGCGAAUGUACUAACACCCAAAAGUGAGUGUUUUGGGACAGUGAGGAAAGUUAAAUGACUUUCGGAGUGUUUCAAAACACUUAGGGGCUUAAUGGAAGCCCGAAGUCCGAAGAUUGGGCGGUUCCGAGCGCAGUUUCUUGUUGCGUGGGUUGCUGUUGUUCGCAGCAGGGUAUGAGCCUUAUUGGCUGGUUUUGUGUGAGGUUUCAUACCUCUGGUCAUAGCAAGAGGGUUGCGGGUGGUUCCGGUGUCGAAAUGGGCAUCUCGGGAAACAAACUGGUGAUUUUUGGGAUUUCAAUUUUUUGUUUAGGCGCACUACUAGUGCGGCUGCCCCAAUAACAUUAAAAUGAUGUGUUGGGACAGCGGGUGAGGUAGGAUAAGUGUGGUACUCUUUUCGUGAGACCUCGUGGGUUGGGGUGGUUUUCCGACAAGUUGGCGCGACAAUCGAGCAAUUUUUCGGUGACCGUUGAAUGGGAUUCGAAAAUUCGAUUGUUCACCUAUUUGGAUUCCUAUAGAAUUAUAAGCUUCUGUAAUUACUGAGUUUGGGCUCAUUACAAUUUUGGUUGGGACUUUGCAUAGAUUCGGACUGCGAGUGGCAUUGAUGUGAGGUCGACGACCCGAUUUCAUUCUAUGGUACAGGUGGGUACUUCGAUCCGAAGUUCGUAAAGUGGUGCCGACUCGGUGAUUUCUAUCCCUUUUAUCUCCUUUCAUUUACUUGAUACUGGUUGAGCUUUCAUACAUUUACUUGACUUCGUAGCUAGUUGCUAUACACCCACUCUUAUAUCAUAUUAUCGUAAUUUAAGUGGUAGAGCGAUAUUUUUUGGUGAUUGAGUUAUCUGUUGUAUGAUUAUAAUAGAUGAUCUUGAUAUUAGUGACUUUAUGAUCGGUGACAUUCUUAGUUAUCUAUUUCAUGAUAUGACAUUAGUUGACACUCGUUCUCGGUGACACUUCCAGAUGUGUAUUGUAUGAUAUGACAUUAGUUGACACUUGUUGUCAGUGACAUUCCUAGAUGUGUAUUGCAUGAUAUGACAUUAGUUGACACUCAUUGUUGGUGACACCUCUAGAUGUAUAUUGCAUCUUAUGACAUUUGUUGACCUUGUGAUUGGUGACACUUCUAGUGGUUUAUUGCAUGACUUGACAUUAGUUAACCUGAUGGUUGGUGACACUCUUAGAUAGAGCUGGACUUGAUUGGUCGGUGACUCUUUGUGGGUUACUCUUUCGGUAAGUUGCCGUUGUUGGCUAUUGAGGAUAUUACAGGUCGUGAGCAUCUUCACGUACACCAGCGGUCUGAUCUACCGCAAAAGGAUGUUCUUUUCCAAAAAAAGUGGCCGUACUUUGGACCUGUGAGCGCUAUGAGGUGCUUGUCAGGAUUAUAUGCCAAGUGGACGAGCAGAAUAUGAUUUAGCCUGAGGUCUUUAGACCAGUAUCGCAGUUGACAUCGUUGUUGGCAUUAUUGAUCCAUUUGAUGCAUUGGUGUACUCUAUUAUUCUUUACAAUAGCUUAUAGUUAUGUCUUGAUUAGUAGUUGUAGUUUCUUUCUGGUCAUUAUUGCUACUAUUUCGAUGCUCCUACUUGUUAUGUCUAUUUGUCUACUCUAUCUUAUAGUAGCAGUUAUUGUUGCGUUUAUUACCAGUUGUUAUUCCAUUGCUAUUGUACCUGAUUCACUUGUUUACUACUGUUGGUUGUCUCUUCCGUCUGCCGGUGAAUACAGCUUGUCUUCGUCGACUUGCGGUACCCAUUGAGAGGGGAGACGUGUUUACAUGUUCUCACCGCUGACUAUUUUUUUAGGUUAACAUUAGCGGUGAGGGUCGGGACGGUGCGUGAGGACGAUACUAGAUAGUUAUGUUUCAAAUCUAUCCGUUGUUGAUAUGUAUUAUCUUUCUACUGGAUUAGUUCGGGAUCGUCUGCUGGACAGAUACUUUAGUCCAUAGGAAAAUACUUUAGUCCAUGGGCAAAUACUUUAGCCCAUCACGUGACAACCUCCGGAGUGCACUGUUUGGGUGGAGCGACCACCACCAAGCUCAAAACAGACUAGGUGAGUAUGAUCUGAUCCUCCUUUAGAGGAUUCAACCACAGACAAUGUCACACUUUAACUUUAACUAGCUCUUUAUGCUAGUUGCAAUUUCAUUUCUCUAUGCUAACCAAAUCUCUAGUUAGAAUGUCACCAAGUUCACUAUUGUUAUAGUCCAUACAUUCAUAGAGUUCUAUGUUCACAUUCUAAUGUUCACAUGUUCUCACUGUCGAUAGGGAUUCAUACUUUCACUUGCACAAUGCCAAUACCCUAUAAUGCAUGACUACAAAUAUAAAUAUGCUCAAUGAAUUAUCAUAGACAUAAAAGGUGAUUCAAAGAUUUCGGAUAGCACCACCCACCUGUAGUGGUGUCAAUGAGCUAAGAUCAAUGUCUCGGAAUGCGUUGACAACUAUUUCUUGCAACUCAGUGCAAAUCGAACUAGAACGGUCUCUACCGUAAGUAGCGUGUCGUCGCCCUGUCGGAAAGUCAAUUUAUACUUUCGAGCAUGUUUAACUUUCAUUUAUAAAGGAUUAAAGGAAUUUAAGCUAGAGUCAUAUUCUCAUAUUUUUCAAGUUAACAUUUCCAUUCCUCAUAAAAUGUCAACUCAAAGAAGAUUUCAGCAUUAAGCUGAAAUCUCACAUCAUGCUGUAUUUUCAGCAUUAGUUCAAGUACUACAUUCAGCUUCUAAUUAGCAUUUUAUAGAAAAUAAGUAAUUGAUCCUUAAUCCAAAUUUGAAUAACUAUGUUACCUCAAGUUCAGCUGAGCUACUAUCAAUUCUGCAGCCUUUUUGUCAACUUGGAACAUUAAGAAACUCACUCAAGGAUCAACUUCAGCCAUACUUCUCACUUCGGGUAGCUCCAAUAAGCCUUUACUCCAUUUCGGCCAAUACCAACAGCACAAAGUCCAUAUAAGCAUCAAACUUUAAGGUAAAUAAUUCAGCUCAACUAAGUAUGGAAUCAAUCUUACCUUAAUUUGGGCUUUCUCCAAGUUUCAUUCAGCAUCAACUACUCAAAGUCCCAAAUCUCAAUCUGAAAUUUCAGCAAUAUGGAAUCUUUUCAUAAUUCCUCUCUAAAGCUAGUAGUUUGACCCUAAUCAACUACUAAACAGAAUUACCUUCACUAGAUGCUGAAUUUGACCUGCUUACAGCAUCAAUUAGGUCACCCCUGCAUUUCGACAGCACCAGCAGCACCAACAAUAUCAACUUCUUGCUCUCAGCUGCAAGAAUUUCCAUAUGGUGAUCUUUUCCAAGGUAAUUAACCUAUAGAAGAAUAAGUACUAAUCAAGUUUACCUUGAUUAGUUGCUGUCCCAAGUUGUUCAGCAACUCCAGCAGCAAGAAUUCUUUGCCUUGCGGCUCUCUCUCAAGGCUGAAACAUCAAGGCCAUCAGCACCAAUGACACUUUAAUUUCUCUUCAGCAGCAGCCCCAACUCAGCAACACAUCAAUCCAGAAGCUCACAUCUGAAUUCGAAGCUCUCCAACAGCUUCCUUCUUUAACUCCGCAUGGUCUCUUUUCAGUUCCACAUCAAGAAAAACUUAAUUUGCAAGCCUCAAUGCUGUUAUCUCAAUUUUUUCAAGCUGCAACAGCAAGAAAUUCACAUAACAAUCCUUUCCAAAGUAACUAACCUAUAUAAGAAGAAAUACUAAUCAAGUUUACCUUGAUUAGAUGCUAUUCCAGGUGAUAUAGCAACUCUAAUCAGCAAAAACUUCUUGCUUGGAUCAGGUUUUCUUUUCAGCCACAAGUCUCCAAGGCUGUCAGCACCAAGUUCUUCAACUCUUCUUAGCUUAGAGAGAGAAGGAGAAGAAAAUAAAAGAUAAGGAAUGAAGAGAGAUGACCCUUCAGCAUCUGGACAUGUGUAUCCCACUAAGGGUGAAGAGAUAAUGCUGUAAAAUUGCACUUUGGCCCCUCAAAAUGCUGAAAUUGCAUUGCUGGACAAAUGCUGCCCGCAAUUGCUAUACCGGUACAAGAAUGUGUACCGGUACAGGACAGCAGCAGCAGCAGCAUCAACAGCUGCUUCGAUUCCUUGUUUCUCACUUCUAAUCCAUUCUAAUUUCAUUCCAACACUUCAAAAACAUUCCAAAUGAACAUCCCAAGCUAUCAAAUUAAUUUGGGAGCAAUUAAUUUCAAAUUUGCAUCAAUUUGCUCAUUUUGACCAAAUCGACUAAAAUUUCAACAUUCGAGUUACAAUGGCAAUUGGAUGUCUUUAGCCACUCCAAUUCCAUUCUUAUCUAUUCUCACAUUUCCAAAACCUGUCACUUGAUAUUCUCCAGCCACUAAUUAAGUUUAGAAAUACUCAAUUUCCAUUUUAGCAUUAUGGUGACCACUUUGAUCACAAUUAGCUUGUAAUCAAAAUUCAGCCUAUUACAUUUACGGUUUUAUUAGUGGAUUUCAGUGUUAUACUUAUCCCUCUGUUGUAAAACAUAGUUGUUUACUUUGCUUUGAUAUCGUUAGAUCCUUUGUUUAUCUGCCUUAUUUAUCGUUUUGUUUUAGACGCCUCAUAUGUUUUAGACAUAUGGCGGGUCUGGGCACGCGCCGGGCGGCCUUCCGCUGGGUCCCGGGGCGUGACACUAUUCCACAGAGCCGAGACCGAGCGCGCUGGCGAGCGACUGCUGUAAAGGUAUCGCACCGUAGUCAGAGGCCACCAGAGUUGGGUUAUAUUUUGUUAGUAGCUACCCUUUUAUCAUCUUUUGUAUUUGAUGAUUUAUGAUGCUAAUGUAUAGAACAGAAAUGGAAAAGAAUGUAAUGUUUAUUUUGAGCAAAUGUGAUGUAAAAAGAAAUGAUGCGAAAACUAUGUAAAGAAUUGCUUAUGAAAAUGAUAGAUUCUUGUAUGCGAUCAAAAAGAAUCAUAGUACUAGUUGAAUGCUUAGUUUCCUAUCUUUCACUCAUGGCUAUUGCUUACCCUCGUGUAAGCCGUUUGUGUAUGUUUUCGCUAUUGCACUUCUCGUUUGAAAUUAUACAAGUGAUGAGCCUUGGGCGGAUAGGGAAAAUUCUGUCCGUUCGGCGUCUGUUUGACGUGCUCGGGCCGGCCCAAAUUGGUAUCGGUCCCCGGGACGUGACGUCAAGAGCCGUUGUGGAGAGACAUAGGGUAGAUGAAUCUUGAGAUUGUGGCCUCGGAGAUCCCGUCUAUGCUUAUGGCUCUCUUUGUCCAACCGGCCUUGUUGGAAAGGAUUAAAGGAUUGCAACCCGCGGACCCAAAUCUCCAAAAGGUGCGGCGAGACAUCGAAAGUGGACGUGGCGGUGAGUUCAGCGUUGACGCCGAGGUUGCACUUCGGUUUCAUAAUCGGUGGUGCAUGCCUGAAGACGAGGAGGUCCGGAAGUUGAUACUGCAAGAAGCGCAUCGGACUCCCUAUGGUAUCCACCCGGGCGGCACCAAGAUGUAUCAUGAUUUAAAAAUGCAUUAUUGGUGGCCGGGAAUGAAAGCCGAUAUCGGACGCCAUGUGGCGCUGUAACACACUGGACCUGUGCAAAUUGCGAGGUUCGAGUGUUUGAUGUGGACUCCGAACUUUUCCACACUUGGUGGAAGGUUGUAGAUGGUAUUCCGACCUAAAAGUUCGAUUUCUAGAAUUUUGGCUUAGUCCUGAGAGUUUUCACUCUUGGGGACCGGUAACUGGUGGGAGAGACCGGUCCCCCCGGAGCAGUGUUGCGGCACUCUUGAGGGAACCGAUCCCUGGUAGGGAGAGACCGGUUUCCGAACGUUGGUUUUGCGGGACGAACCGAGAGACCGGUCCUUGGCAAGGAGAGACCGGUCCCUCUGGGCGAAAACUGCCCAGACCCGGGCAGUGUGCUGUUUGGAUUGUUGAGGGGCUUAUCAGGAUUUUGUUACAUUAGAAGGCUUUUAGAGCCUUUCUCUUCUCUCUUUCCCUCAUUUCUCCCGUUUACACUCAUUUUAGAGAGAAAGAGAAGGAAAAGAAGAAGAAGGAGAAGGAGAGGAGCUUGCUUGGAGGUCUUGGAGCAUCAUCUUCUUCCCCUCAUUUCUCACCUUUGGUGGCUUUGAGCUUGCGGUUGGAGCUUUGUGGAGGAUCAAACUCCAACCCUACUUAGUUUAGAGCUUGGAUUGGAGCUUCUCUUGAGGUUGGUAGCUUAUAUUUUUCAUUUAUUACAAGUUUUUCUAGAUUCUACUAGAUGAAACCCUAGAUUUUAGGAUUUAGGGUUUAUUUUUGGGGAUUUUUGAUUUGAGGGCUUUGAAACCUAAUUGAUGGGUUUAGAACCUUUAUUUAGGUUGGAUUUGAAGAACUCUAACUCCCAUUUGGAGCUUGAGAGAGAAUUUUUCACCUAGAUGAGUUUUUCUCUACUUUAGCCUAUGUUGCUUAAUAAUGGAGCUUAGGGUUGAUCGUAAGGUUCGUUUGACUCUCUUUUCUAUACCUUUAGGAUACUAGAAGAGUGGCGAACACUUUCGUCAGAGCUUACGAAGGGUUUCGGUAAGUUCAGUGGGUUUGACUUCAUGAAAUCGGGAUGAAAUGGCCCCUAAGUAUUCUAUACUUGUCGUGACGUCAAUUUGAUUGCAUAUUCAUGUUAAAUGAGAUUUAUGUGAAUUUUAGAACACUUAAACUACAUGCCUUAUGUAUCAUGAAAAUUUCACUCUAUAUAGUAGGGCAUUCGGGGCAUUUUGCAUGUAUAUGAGGAGUGUUCGUGUUAGCGACUUGAAAAUGUCUCUUAUGUUAGAAUUUGCUCAAAUUAUGCAUUUAUAAAUAAUAAACUCAUGUUUGGACUUAGUGGACAAAAUGCCAUAAAGAGGCACUUGACAUAGUAAACUGUGAAACUACAACAUAGAGACAUAGUGAUAGGCCAUUGAACAUCUACUAUAUUCCAUGUUAGAGACAUGAUGACAGAGAGAUAGGCCAUCGAGAUACUUGAUAUAUUCCAUGUUUUUAGACAUGAGGACUUGGUACUUGAGAUAGAUCUUUCGCUUGCUUGCCAUUGUGCUCAUUCGCACAUGCUUGUGAGGGUCGCUCCCUACAAGCCGGCACUCCAGAGAUAGCCAUCACGACAUAUGCUCGCUCGUGCGGGAUUGGGCGCCGAAAUUGGAUGCCGUGGGGGAGGCUCAUCCCUAGAGUGGGGAUGUUGACUACACGGGGCCAUUAGGCACGGCGCAGGCCGGACUACCCACGGGUAGGUCCUAUAGGAUUGGAUCUUUGAUGACUUAGCAUAACGACUGGACAUUGACUAGAAUAGUAAACAAGACAUUUUACUAUUUAGCUUGUGGACAUCAUGCUAGUGAUACUUUGGUACAUUCAUAAUAGAAUAGUCCUUUUAUUACUUAUGCAAAUUCAUGCUAAGUAGAGAUAUUAUGUUGUAGUAAGUUUACAUGCUUACUUACAUAUCGAUUCUAUUGCUUUUAUUGUUACCUUCAUGUUUAGCUCUUUUGGGCCUAGCGGUGCUUUCACUGAAGUCAGUAAUUGCCCACUGGGAACUAUAUUUAAUAGUUCUCACGCUUUCUGUUUUAUGUUUCCUUUUCAGAGCCUUCGACACCGGCGGAGGCACGGGAUCGCUCCAAGGGUGUCGCCUAGCUAGAUAGAGGGGAGCUACUUUUGAGCUUUGGUGGUUUACUCUUUCUUUUAUUGUAUUAGAGAGUGAGAGAGAGAUUUUGAGUACCUUAUAUAGAGAGACCACCUAUGUGCUUGUUUAGCUUUUGUAUUUGGGAUUCCUGUUGUAUUUAUUUUAUGGUUUAUUUAAUGAUUUUAGCUCUCUACUCUUCACACUGUUUUAGAUACUAGAUGUUGUUCAAUGCUCUGAUAUAUCUAGAUCUUCUUUAUUUUCUUUAUUUAUCGUUUUGUUUUAGACGCCUUAUAUGUUUCAGACAUAUGGCGGGUCUGGACAUGCGCCGGGCGGGUUUCCACUGGGUCCCGGGGCAUGACAGAUUAGUUUGGUAUCAGAGCCUAGGGUUGAGUCUUAGUGGACCUGGCAAACCUUAGGCCGGUUGGCCUAUUGGAAAUAGGCUCGUGAGAGACGAGGUCUAUUUGACUUGUAAGCGAAAGUAUCUUGAUUGGGUAUCUUGAUAACUCUAGAAAGUGGAGUUAAAUUGAAGUGUAUAGCUCCUAACUUCGUGGAGGGUUACGUUGGCAGCCGACAACGUAACAUCGGGAGUUAGUAGCACACUUCAUUACUUUCGUAUGAUUUGGGGUAUUAUCUGCUUGAGCGGGGAUACGAUAGCGUGGGUUACUAACUUGUGCUUUUAUGAUGUUGUAGUUAGAUGCCGAUCACUCGCUCCCAAUCUGCCGGAGCGGAUAAUGCGGCACAUCUUGAGGAGGUCGAGACCUCCGCUACCUCCGAAUCUGGCGAGGUCCAGGAGUUGAGGAGCCAGCUUGCGGCCCUCACCGACCUAGUGACUCAGCAGGUGGAGGCAGCCCGACAACAGACUGAGGCGACGUGCCGGCAGAAGGCGCGGAUGAAGCGCCUGGAAGGCCUUCUUCUGCAGCAGGCGGCAGCUUCCAGGGAAUCCCAGGCCCCUACAUCGCCAGCACCAGUUGUGGACGUCGCGCCGAGAGCGCCGUCCCCGAUUGGAGCUGUUUUUCCCGUGUUGGUCAAGGGAGCGGAGCGGGACCGACUGAUGGAGCGCCUCAACGAGUUUAAGAGGAGCAGUCCUCGGAUAUUCGACGGUGAGAAGGUCGACCACUGGAUCAUGGAGAAGUGGCUGAUACAUAUGGAGAAGCUCUUUCGCGACACCUUCAUGGAGGAGAGAGAUCGAGUUUGGCUCGCCACACACCAUUUGGACGGCGAGGCCUACCGCUGGUGGUUGGAUCUCCAGGAGAACCCCAGCACUGAUUUGGCGGCUAUCUCGUGGAAGAAGUUUAAGGAGCUUCUGUUGGCGCACUACUUUCCGACCAGCGUCAAGAGGAAGAUGGAGCAGGACUUGCGCAAUUUGCGCAGGGAGACAGGACAGUAGCCGAGUAUGAGCAGGAGUUUUCUCGGCUUCUACACUACGUGCCUUUCAUCGUGCGGGAUGACGAGGACAAGGCCCGCAUAUUCGAGCGAGGGUUGCGACCGUCGAUUUUUCGAUUUGUGCAAUCCUCUAACCUCCAAACCUAUCGGGAGGUGGUGGAUCGUGCGCUCAUCGUGGAGAGCGGCGCGGCGGAUGUCCAGGAGCGGCGAGAGGUUAUGGAUAAGGGUAAGGCCAAGAGGCCUACGGCUGAGGGUGCGAGCCAGACGCACUCUAGGAGGCCGCCGAAGCAUCCGAGGAGCCAGCAGCGUGGGCGUGGCUCGGCGACCCACCGUGGAGGUUCUGACCGACACCGACCUCCCCAAUGCGUGAUCUGUGGUGGUCCCCACAUUCCACGGCAGUGCCAGCAGCGGGGAGGGAGGUGUUUCCAGUAUGGCCAGGAUGGCCACUUUCGGACCUAGUGCCCGAGAGGUUCUUCACCGGCACCGUCGACUGCAUCGACACCGGCUCUACCAGCCGCUAGCCACGGGACUCCAUCGACACAGUACCAGCUUGGGUGGCCACCCGUCCAGCGCCAGAGCGAGGGAUCUCGACAGGCUCUGAGUGGGCGUUUGUAUGCGGCUAAGACCGAGGAGGCGGCAACAGCCGAGGAUGUGGUUGCAGGUAUCAUUUUACUUGAUGGCAUUAGAGUUCGUGCUUUAUUUGAUACCGGUGCAUCGCAUUCGUUUAUAGAUCGGCUGUUUGCCGAGUUGCAUGGCAUCCCUUUGGUUUCUUUGUUGCAUCCGGGACAUGUCGUAGUACCCGACCACACUCUGGAUAUUAGAGAGCAUUGCCCCUGUUGCCCUAUUCGGGUAGGAGAUUGGAUUAUGCCCGUGGACUUGCUAGCCUUGCGCAAGUUGGGAGAAUUUGAUGUGGUCCUGGCUAUGGAUUGGCUAACCAAGUAUUAUGCCACGAUUGAUUGUAAGAAUCGCACGGUUACCUUUAGAGAACCGGGACAGACUGAGGUUGUAUUUAGAGUAUGCCGGAGUUCGCUUUUCGCGACGUCGAUCAGCUCGUCUCGAGCUAAGCAGCUGAUCAGCCGAGGAUGUGUAGCCUACUUGGCUAGUAUUGUGUUGAGGAGCGAGGAUGACACCCCUAGGAUUGAGGAUAUCCCGGUGGUACGGGAAUUCCAGGACGUGUUUCCAGCUGAGCUACCGGGUAUGCCACCCGAUAAGGAGAUCGAGUUUGUGGUAGAUCUCAUCCCUGGGACUACUCCAAUCUCGAAGGCACCCUAUAGGAUGGCACUAGCGGAGCUAAAGGAGCUGAGGGCACAGCUAUAGGAUCUGUUGGAUAAGGGCUUCAUUCGACCGAGCGUCUCACCGUGGGGAGCGCCAGUUCUGUUCGUCAAGAAGAAGGACGGAUCACUUCGCCUAUGCAUGGACUAUCGUAAACUUAAUAAAGUCAUGAUCAAGAACAAGUAUCCAUUGCCGAGAAUUGACGACUUGUUUGACCAGCUUCAAGGAUCGUGUGCGUAUUCCAAGAUAGACUUGCAGUCGGGAUACCACCAGUUAAAAAUCAAACCCGAGGAUGUAUCGAAGACGACUUUUAGAACACGGUAUGGACACUAUGAGUUCACAGUUAUGCCGUUCGGGCUUACUAAUGCUCCGGCAGUCUUUAUGGAUCUGAUGAACCGUGUUUUCAAGCCUUAUUUGGACAGGUUCGUCGUGGUGUUUAUCGACGACAUUUUGGUUUAUUCCCGAAGUGAUGCAGAUCAUGAGGAACAUUUGAGAUUUGUGCUCCAAGUACUUCGGGAAAAGGAGCUUUAUGCCAAGCUGAAAAAGUGUGAGUUUUGGCUCCGAGAGGUAGCCUUCCUUGGGCAUUUAAUAUCGGGAUCGGGUGUAGCCGUGGAUCCUAAGAAGAUUGAAGCAAUCAAGAAUUGGCCGAGACCGACGAGUGUCACGGAGAUACAGAGUUUCCUUGGAUUGGCCGGUUACUACCGGAGAUUUGUAGAGGGGUUUGCUAAGCUAUCUACUCCUCUCACGAGGCUUACGCUUAAAGGUGUUAAGUUCAUCUGGAAUGAUGCGUGUGAAAGAAGUUUCCAAGAGCUGAAGCAACGACUGACGACCGCACCUAUCCUAACCCUGCCAGUUGCUGGAAAAGGGUAUGUUGUUUACAAUGAUGCAUCUCUUAACGGAUUGGGCUGUGUUUUGAUGCAGGACGACAAGGUGAUCGUGUAUGCUUCUCGCCAAUUGAAGGAAUAUGAAAAGAAUUACCCUACUCACGAUUUGGAGUUGGCGGCCGUAGUCUUCGCAUUGAAGUUAUGGCGCCACUACUUAUAUCGCGAGCGGUGUCAGGUAUACACGAAUCACAAGAGCCUCAAAUACCUGUUCAUUCAAAAGGAGUUGAACUUGAGACAGCGUAGAUGGCUGGAGCUGCUCAAGGAUUAUGAUCUGACGAUUCUACAACACCCGAACAAGGCUAACGUGGUGGCGGAUGCGCUAAGUAGGAAAUCAACGAAAAACUUAGCAAUGCAUGUUGUUAGUCAACCGCAGUUGAUCGAGCAGAUGAAGCGGUUGGAGUUGGAAGUGGUGAUUCCGGAUACGCCUUUGAGAUUGAUAACCUUGGUGGUGCAACCUACACGUUUGGAUAUAAUUAAAGAAAAGCAAGUAUCCGAUUCGAAAUUGCAAAAGGUUCGAGAUAAAAUGGACAAUGGUUGCACCGGCGAUUUCCUUGUGGAUGACCUAGAAUUGAUGCGUUUUCGUGGAUGAAUUUGUGUACCAGCGGAUUUAGGAAUUAAAGAGGAUAUUCUUCAAGAAGCAUACCGGGCACCGUAUGUUAUAUAUACGGGUGGUACCAAGAUGUACAAGGACUUGAAGUUGCUUUAUUGGUGGCCCGGGAUGAAAAAGGACGUUGGCGAGUUCGUAGCUCAUUGUCUAACUUGCCAAUAAGUGAAAGCUGAGCACCGAUUACCCGCGGGAAAGCUUCAGAGUUUACCUAUUCCCGUGUGGAAGUGGGAGAAGAUCACCAUGGACUUUGUGACUGGAUUGCCUCGCUCUUAAGCCGGGCAUUAUGCUAUAUAGGUGAUCGUGGAUAGGUUAAUGAAGUCGGCGCACUUCAUACCUAUUCAUACUACUUGGACCGGAGAGAAGCUCGCACAAGUGUACCUUGAUGAGAUUGUGCGACUUCAUGGAGUGCCUACAUCGAUAGUAUCGGAUCGAGACACUCGGUUUGUGUCUCACUUUUGGAGGAGUCUGCAGGAUGCCUUGGGCACCCGAUUGGACUUCAGCACUGCCUUCCACCCCCAGAGUGAUGGCAGUCAGAGCGCACCAUUCAGACUUUAGAGGAUAUGCUCCGAGCAUGUGUGAUAGAUUUCCAGGAAGGAUGGUCGCAUC